rnacentral:lncRNA from 1 species
UGACACCGGCUCCCCUAGCCUAAUGUGGCUUCGUCAGAUCAGGUCAUGAAAGGGGAGCUCUUGGCCUUGGGCGAAGGGAGGAGGGAGGCCGAGACCCACCUAGGACAAACGUGUGGUUGUCGCUCCGUUCUACAUGGUGGCGGCUGGGCUCGCUGGCUAGGGGGAAGUGGUGGUGGCCGACGCGAUGGGGUGGUGGCGAGGGAGGACUUGAACAACUAGGUAGGGCGUUGGGGGUUGCACUCGACGAGGUGUUUCGGGAUUUCCCUUUCGCAAAAGAUCGGUACGGAUGAAAAAAAGGUGGACAAUGGGUGGUGAGAUGGGAAAAAAAUUAGUCAAAUGAAAAUAAACCGUGGAGCGGAAGCUACCAUCUCCUUUAGGUGUAGAGAAGAUUUGCUUGUCAUAAUUUAGAUGUUAAUUUUCUUAAAAUUCAUUAUUUGUUUCCUGAAAAGUCUGUUAUUUGUUUCCCAAAACAAAUUGCACUAAUGAGAGGGAUCGGUUGAUUUGGAUAAGUUAGGAAAGUUAGCUGAAAAUUUGUUAUUUCUUUCUUGAAUUUUUUUAUUUGUUUCCCAAAACAAAUUGCACUAAUAAAAGGGACCCAUUGAUUUGGAUAACUUAAGGAAGUUAAAUCUGUGAUUUGUUAUACGUUAGAAAAGUGUUGUUUUGUAAUAAAUGAGUGGACAAAAAUAAAUUUAUGGACCAGGGUGAGAGGGGUUGGUGGGAUGAGAGACGAAAAAUCCUAGACGAAGGUGGGAGGAGAGACGAAAAUAAACCGGGAAACGCCAGCUACCAACUCCUUCUUUAGGAGUAGAAAAAACAAGAUGAAAAAUAAACCGGUGAGGCAAGGCUAUCAACUCUCCCUUUAGAGUAGAGACUUUAGGGGUAGAGAUAAUGCCUUCAUACUGAGAUUUGUUUGUCAUGACUCAGAUGUUAAUUUCCUUAGAAUUCGUUAUUUGUUUACAAAAAAUCUGUUAUUUGUUUCUUAAAAGAAAUUGCACUAAUGAGAGGGAUCGGUUUAUUUGGAUAAGUAAGAAAAGUAAAAUUAAAAUCCGUUAUUUGUUUCCUCAAAAUCUGUUAUUUGUUUCCUACUAAAAAUUACACUAAUGGGAGGGAUCGAUUGAUUUGAAUGGAAACUUAGAUCAGUGAUUUGUGACGUUAGGUAAGUGCUCGUUUGUAACAAAAAGGUGGAGAGAAAAAUAAACCGAUGAACCAGGGUGGGAGGGGUGGUGGAAGGAGAUAAAAAAGAUCAUAUGAAGGUGAGAGGAGAGACGAGAAUAAACCGAGGAACGUCGGCUACUGUCGUGGGUAUAAGUCUCAGAGUAGAUGUGUAGGGUACGAAAGGAUGGGCAGAGCCUUAGCUACGGCGAGGUUGUAUGAGUUCAGGCCCCUCUAUGGUGGAGGUAAAAGCCCUACGUCUCAGUGCUCUUGGGAGCUUAAUGUCGAGUGAAAUAUGGAUUACAGUGAAAAUGCUAACCCCUGCACCAGUGGGGAGGGGCGGCUUAUAUAGAGUACGCUGCCCUUCACAACGGUCCGGUGCACAGGGGUGGAGUAGUGGCGAAUAAAUGCCUACGUGACAUGUAACGUAUGCCUUAAAUGCUAAUAAUGGUGUAUGAAAACGUACGACCGUUGCCCUCCAGGGAGGUUACGAUAUACAGAGUGGAAUCCAGUCGGCAGUUUAAUACGCUCCGAAUGCUCAUCUCCGACUGGAUGAUGGGGGGAAUCAUUACCGACUGGAUGAUGGGAAGUCCUUAAUUCAGUCGGAACUGACUAAGGGCCUUGUCCCUUAAGAAGGGUAGUCCUUGGGUAGGACCUAUAGGGCAGGCCUAUGAUCCUACCCUGGGACUAUGACCCCAUCAUUAGUCCCCGAAUGGAUCGGGGUUGGAACGACGAAGUGAUGCCUGAAAUACGGAUCCGACUGGUAUGGAUGCGACUUUGGUGUGGUUUGCCUCAAUCCAUUUUAUCCUCUUGACCAGUGAUCCGAGUGGAUAUAUCUGUGAAACGAACCGUCAGAGACCGAGUGCUUCCGCGGAAUCUUUCGACGUGACCGGUCAACUGACAGCGGUGGAUUUUCCGGGAUCCUCAAAUUUUGGUUGCCGCGCGCUCAGCGGGGAUGACGGCAUCGUCAUCGAGUAGUUUCUGCCACCUCGAUUACCGUGCCUUCACCUCCUCCACUAAUAUCGCACCAGCCGGUCGGGGGAUAAGAUUUCGGGGCCACCUGUUCGUUGUGCUCUCCUGAUUACUCGCACUCGCCCCGCUUCUCCCGUAGCUCCCUGCGCACUCCAAGCCUCCUCCUUCCUCUCCUCCCCUGCGGAUCUGCAGCCUCCACCAUGACGAAGGGGCAGACGAGCAAGCUCGAGUCGCAGAAGAAGAAGAAGAAGGCGGCGGCUCCUGCUCAGCGGCGACAGCAGGCAUUGCUGGCGAGUUGGAUCCAGGGGGAUUUCCUCCCCUCCACCGUGACGAAGGAUGACCUGCUGGAGCUGGUGGAGCAAGGUAUGAUCGCCAACAAGUCGUGGAGGCUGCCGACGGAGGGCGAGACGGAGCCGGUGCCCCAGGAGGGGGAGCGCGUCUUGCUGCUCAGUCACGUGUACCGGGGUUUCUCUCUGCCUCCUCAUCCCUUCUUCAGAGGUAUCAUGAACCACUUCGGGGCGCAGCUCCAUCACUUUCCUCCCAACGCGAUAGCUCAUCUUUCUGCAUUCGUCGUGCUUUGCGAGUGCUUUAUCGGUUGUCCUCCCCAUUGGGGGCUCUUUAAGUACAUCUUCUCCGCUAGAUCCCAAACCGUCAAAAAACUUAGCCAGUCGGACGACAAAACUCAUAUCCUCCAGCUUUGCGGGGGCUUAGGCUUCCAGAAGAAAAGCAAAAGUAGCUACCCCGCUCUUCAGUUGUCCGAGUCCGUUAAGAAAUGGCAGUCGACUUGGUUCUAUUGCCAGGACUUCGCCUGUCCGAAUGCCGCAACUCGGCUGCCACCUUUUAGUCUAGACCGACCGGCUCCGCCCAGGCAGCUUGCGCUCACGAAGAUGGAAAAGAUCUAGAUCCAACCUCUGGUCGAAGCGCUGAUAGAUGUCGUCCGCAAGGGAGUCACCGGCACGGAUCUGCUGGAGACUUUUUUGGGUCAGCGCAUCCAGCCUCUGCAAGCUCGACACCACGCCAUGUGGCACUACGCGGGGCCUGGGGACUCCACUCGGACUCAUCCCGAAUGCGUGACCGGGGAGGUUGUGAUGGCGUGGGUCCGCGGCAUCACAGGCGCCUGCGAUAAUCCCAGAGGAGCCCAAGAGUGAAGUCCUUCCGCGCUGACAACCCUCCUCCGAAUGAGGUGAGCAUAUCUUGCCGAGUGCUUACAAUUCCCUUAGAUUUGCCGCUUUUUCUUGCACCACCGUCUGACGACCGAUGUUGUCAACUGGAUCUUGUGCAGGCGUGGACCAACUAAUAUUCUCCUGUCUCGAAUGGGAAUCCGGCUGAGGAAGAGGAAGGCAGCCAGGAGGGCAGCGUGGACAGCGUCGAGUACGUCUCCGACAGUGGGGAGACGGAGGAGGAGACCGAAGAGGAAGGGGGGGAAGUUGGAGAGCAGAGCUCGCCACCCCCACCACCAGAGCCUAGAACUAAGCGCCGUCACGAACCCGUUACUCCGUCGGCUCCUCCAGCGGCCCCGAGUGCCUCGCCAGCUCCCGUGACUCCGUCGGCUCCUCCAGCGGCCCCGAGUGCCUCGCCAGCUCCUCCCAUGGUUCUGAGUGCCUUGCCAGCUACUCCCGUGGCUCCGAGUGCUCGGAGCACAAAGAGGACCAGGGACGCUGCUGCCGAGCCCACGGACCAGCCUUCCAAGGUGUCCAAACCGAGUGGAUCCAAGCUCGGAAAGCUUUGCCUCGGAUGAGGAUCGCUCUUCCCGUUGCCUCAACGUAAGUGUCUUGUUCUCCUAUCUUCUUUCAGUAUUUGACUGAACUCAUGCUUAUCGGUCGAGUGGAUUUUACUCGACAGAGCUGCUACCUCUGCCACCUCUCUACCAUGCCAGGAAGACGAUCCCAUGGAUACGGAUAACGUUGCCACAUCCCAGCAAGGUACGUCGUGACGACUCCGAGAGUUUGCAUUAUUGUUUCGCGAAUUCUAUCUUUAAUCUUGCCCUUUUUCCGUGGUCUCACGUCGUUCAGUCGGGCUUCCUUCAGAGGUGAUUCAUCUGGAGGAGGAUGACCAGAAGAGGUCUGGGCAAGCUUCGGUGCCUGUCCUUGAGGUUGUUCCAUCUGCUACCGCCCCCGCCAUGGAUGCGCCGCCGACCGAGACGAUGCCGUCGACUGAGACGGUGCUCAUCGCGGUUGAACCGACUGAAGCAGGACUUGGGAUGCCCAAGGAGUCUCCUGUCUUGUCGGGUCCGUCGACCGUCCAGUACGACGCCCAACACCUCCCGGAAGAUCAAGUGGGAGCCGCCAAGGCGGCCAUGGUGCAGGUGGAGUUGAUGGCGGGUGAUGCCAAGGGGGCGUACGACUCCAUCACAUCUUUGUACAAGAGAAGCUUGGAGCUCCGGGAUGAUAGCCGAGUAAGUGCGCUAGUAAGUAUUUGCUUUCCUCUUGUAACAAACUGGGGGUUUAAGCGAUAUACUCGGAUACAGUAGGAUUAUUUUGCAGUGGGUUCACUCCGAGUGAACCCAGUGGGUGUAGUCCCCGAGACUUCUGUCGAGUGCUUGCACCGGCAGUUCUCUUUAUAUACAUUUUCCUUGACUUAAUCGGAUCAGAACUAAUAUGUCCGAAUGAUACCAGUGGGGGCACUCCUAGUGCACCCACUGGAAGUAGUCCCCGGGAGUAAUUUUACUCAGGUCGGGUAGUAGUAGCCUCAUAGGCUUGUUUUUGUUAUGUAGCUCAAUAGGGCGGACCUGUUCGAGCUUCAUGCCAGUGGGAUCACUCUUAGUGAACCCACUGGGUGUAGUCCCCGAGACCGCUGUCGGCUGCUUGCGUCGGCAGGGGUCUGAAGAAUUUUGAACUUUUAUUGUUUUCCUUGUUGAAUGUGUCUGAUCUCUUCUUCACGUUGAUUUGCAGAAGACUUGCGAAAUGGGAUCAGCAUACAAUGCUCUGAAGGCUGAAAAGAUUUAGCUUGCUGCGGAAUUUGAGGCAGCUGUGAAUGACUUAGCUGGUGUGAAGGUGGCACUUGCUGACCGAGAGAAGUCUUUGGAGGAGUCCCGGGAGACCAACAAGGCAUUGGUGGCCGAAAUUGAGAAAAUGAGCAAGCAAAGAAGUGAACUGAUGGGUCAAAUGCAGGUGAUGAACCGUCGAUGCAUUUCGCACGAGAAGUAUGUCAACGACUGGGCGAGGAAGAUGAUUGCACUGCUCGGUGGUAAGCUUCUUGCCGAGUGCUUCUUGACUUUGUAAUUCAUUAUGCGCUUACUUUCUGCUCUUCUUUUCUUUGCAGAUUUUUGUCUGGACGUUGAGGCUGAAGCAGCCGACAUUGAACGAUCGGUUGUUCCGAACGUUCCACUCGGCGACGAAGCGAAUUGGGACAUGCUUCGAGCACAUAUUCGCCUUGGCAGAGUGGGGCCUUUCAUCGGCCGUUUGAGAGAAGUCAUCGGCCAGAUCGACAAGGAGUUGUGGCCCGAAGAUGAUUCCCGGCAGGAAAUAGAAGGGCUGAUGACUCGGCUGGAGGACGUCCCGAACCGAGUGCAGGCAUGGAAGAAAUCUACCGCUCGCUGUGGUGCGGACGUGGCGCUAUCGCUGGUCCGAGUGCACUGCGAAGCUCGCGAAGAGAAGCUGAAGGCGUUGCAGGUCGCCAACACCAAGAAGCUUCGAUUCGAAGAUUUCAUGGAGACCUUCGUUGAGACUGCCACUCGCAUCGCAGACGGGAUCGACCUUGACACUUUUGUGGAGCCUGCCAGUCCUGGUGCCAGUCCUGAUGACGCUUGAAAAACUUUACCUCGGUAUGCCGAGUGGUAUCUGUAUCAAACUUGGGCCACUGCUGUUGGCCAUCACAUUCGUGGUUCGGUGUGGGUAAGCUAGAUCCACACCGAGACGACUAUCAUAGAUCCAACGUUGAAUUCGAAUCGAAUAUUUUGUUGUUCUUUCGCCAAGUUUAUUUUCUGACACGAUUUGAGCUCGUGGUUUUUGUUUGGCGUUUCUUGGUGAAGCCAAUGGCAAACAUGCGGAGCAUGUAAUUGUUAAUUGUCUUCACAUGCACAUGAGCCUCAAUGAGGGUCUGCUAAGCCUCCGAGUAGAUCUCGAGGAUACACUCGAAGGAAGCUUUUUACUUAGCCGAUUCUGGAUAGCAGCUAAGUCCUCGAGUGCGGCAUGUCGUGCGCACUCGGAGCGAGUUGAUACUCAUGUAGUUGUCAGUUGUCUCGACAUCCACAUGAGCCUCAAUGAGGGUCUGCUAAGCCUCCAAGUGGAUCUCUAGAAUACACUCGAAGGAAGCUUUUUACUUAGGCGAUUCUGGAUCGCAGCUAAGUCCUCGAGUGCGGCAUUGUUGGUGAACGUCGCAUGGGAAACAAAAAUUUUCCUACGCGCACGAAGACCUAUCAUGGUGAUGUCCAUCUACGAGAGGGGAUUUCCGAUCUACGUACCCUUGUAGAUCACACAGCAGAAGCGUUAAGAAAUGCGGUUGAUGUAGUGGAAUGUCCUCACGUCCCUCGAUCCGCCCCGCGAACCGUCCCACGAACCGUCCCGCGAUCCGUCCCACGAUCCGAUCCGAUCUAGUGCCGAACGGACGACACCUCCGCGUUCAGCACACGUACAGCUCGACGAUGAUCUCGGCCUUCUUGAUCCAGCAAGAGAGACGGAGAGGUAGAUGAGUUCUGCGGCAGCGUGACGGCGCUUCGGAGGUUGGUGGUGAUCUAAUCUCAGCAGGGGUCCGCCCAAAGUCCGCAGAAACGCGAUCUAGAGGUAAAACCGUGGAGGUAUGUGUUCGGGCUGCCGUGGCAAAAGUUGUCUCAAAUCAGCCCUAAAAUCCCACUAUAUAUAGGAGGGAGGGCGGGGAGGAGGCAGCCUCAAAACCUAAAGGUUUGGCCGAAAUUGGAGGUGGAGGAGUCCUACUCCAAUCUUACUUGGAGUAGGAUUCCACCUUCCCACUUGGAAACUCUUUCCACCUUGUGUUUUUUCCUUCUCAAACCUUAUGGGCCUUAGUGGGAACUUAUUCCAGCCCACUAGGGGCUGGUUUAUCUCUUCCCAUAGCCCAUGAGACCCCUUGGGGCGUGACAUCCCUCCUGAUGGUCCCCGACACCCCUCCCGGCACUCCCAGUACACCACCGAUGAGCCCGAAACUUUUCCGGUAAUGCACGAAAACCUUCCGGUAACCAAAUGAGGUCAUCCUAUAUAUCAAUCUUCGUUUCCGGACCAUUCCGGAAACCCUCGUUACGUCCGUGAUCUCAUCCGGGACUCCGAAUAACAUUCGUUAGCCAACCAUAUAACUCAAAUACGCAUAAAACAACGUCGAACCUUAAGUGUGCAGACCCUACGGGUUCGAGAACUAUGUAGACAUGACCCAAGUGACUCCUUGGUCAAUAUCCGAUAGCGGGACCUGGAUGCCCAUAUUGGAUCCUACAUAUACUACGAAGAUCUUAUCGUUUGAACCUCAGUGCCAAGGAUUCAUAUAAUCCCGUAUGUCAUUCCCUUUGUCCUUCGGUAUGUUACUUGCCUCAGAUUCGAUCGUCAGUAUCCGCAUACCUAUUUCAAUCUCGUUUACCGGCAAGUCUCUUUACUCGUUCCAUAAUACAAGAUCCCGCAACUUUCACUAAGUCACAUUGCUUGCAAGGCUUGUGUGUGAUGUUGUAUUACCGAGUGGGCCCCGAGAUACCUCUCCGUCAUACGGAGUGACAAAUCCCAGUCUUGAUCCAUACUAACUCAACGAACACCUUUGGAGAUACCUGUAGAGCAUCUUUAUAGUCACCCAGUUACGUUGCGACGUUUGAUACACACAAAGCAUUCCUCCGGUGUCAGUGAGUUAUAUGAUCUCAUGGUCAUAGGAACAAAUACUUGACACGCAGAAAACAGUAGCAACAAAAUGACACGAUCAACAUGCUACGUCUAUUAGUUUGGGUCUAGUCCAUCACAUGAUUCUCCUAAUGAUGUGAUCCUGUUAUCAAGUAACAACACUUGCCUAUGGCCAGGAAACCUUGACCAUCUUUGAUCAACGAGCUAGUCAACUAGAGGCUUACUAGGGACAGUGUUUUGUCUAUGUAUCCACACAAGUAUUGUGUUUCCAAUCAAUACAAUUAUAGCAUGGAUAAUAAACGAUUAUCAUGAACAAANAGUGGGCCCCGAGAUACCUCUCCGUCAUACGGAGUGACAAAUCCCAGUCUUGAUCCAUACUAACUCAACGAACACCUUUGGAGAUACCUGUAGAGCAUCUUUAUAGUCACCCAGUUACGUUGCGACGUUUGAUACACACAAAGCAUUCCUCCGGUGUCAGUGAGUUAUAUGAUCUCAUGGUCAUAGGAACAAAUACUUGACACGCAGAAAACAGUAGCAACAAAAUGACACGAUCAACAUGCUACGUCUAUUAGUUUGGGUCUAGUCCAUCACAUGAUUCUCCUAAUGAUGUGAUCCUGUUAUCAAGUAACAACACUUGCCUAUGGCCAGGAAACCUUGACCAUCUUUGAUCAACGAGCUAGUCAACUAGAGGCUUACUAGGGACAGUGUUUUGUCUAUGUAUCCACACAAGUAUUGUGUUUCCAAUCAAUACAAUUAUAGCAUGGAUAAUAAACGAUUAUCAUGAACAAAUAAAUAUAAUAAUAACUAAUUAUUAUUGCCUCUAGGGCAUAUUUCCAACAGUCUCCCACUUGCACUAGAGUCAAUAAUCUAGUUCACAUCACCAUGUGUUUCCAACGAAUCCAACACCCAUAUAGUUAUGGGGUCUGAUCACGUCUUGCUCGUGAGAGAGGUUUUAGUCAAUGGUUCUGAAACUUUCAGAUCCGUGUGUUCUUUACAAAUCUUUAUGUCAUCUUAUAGAUGCUGCUACUAUGUGCUAUUCAGAAAUACUCCUAACAUCUACUCUACUAUACGAAUUCGUUUCACUACUCAUAGUUAUUCGGAUUAGUGUCAAAGCUUGCAUCGACGUAACCCUUUACGACGAACUCUUUAACCACCUCCAUAAUCGAGAAAAAUUCCUUAGUCCAUCAGUUACUAAGGAUAAAUUUUGACCGAUGCUAGUGAUUCAAUCAUGGAUCACUCUCUGUACCUCUCAACAGACUUUGAGUCAAGGCACACAUCAGGUGCGGUACCCAGCAUGGCAUACUUUAGAGUCUACGACUAAGGCAUAGAAGACGACCUUCGUCUAUUCUAUUUAUUCUGCCGUGGUCGGGUUUUGAGUCUUACUCAAAUUCACACCUUACAACACAGUCAAGAACUCCUUCUUUGCUGAUCUAUUUCGAACUCCUUCAAAAACUUGUCAAGGCAUGCAUCUUGUUGAAACUUCUAUUAAGCGUUUUUAUUUAUCUCCAUAGAUCUUGAUGCUCAAAGUUCAAGUAGCUCAAUCCAGGUAUUCUUUUGAAAAACUCCUUUCAAACAACCUUUUAUGCUUCACAGAAAUUCUACAUUAUUUCUGAUCAACAAUAUGUCAACCACAUAUACUUAUCAGAAAUUCUAUAGUGCUCCCACUCACUUCUUUGGAAAUACAAGUUUCUCAUAAACCUUGUACAAACCCAAAAUCUUUGAUCAUCUCAUCAAAGUGUAUAUUCCAACUCCGAGAUGCUUGCACCAGUCCAUUGAAGGAUCGCUGGAGCUUGCAUACUUGUUAGUAUCUUUAGGAUCGACAAAACCUUCUGGUUGUAUCACAUACAAUGUUUGCUCAAGGAAACCGUCGAGGAAACAAUGUUUUGACAUCCUAUGUGCAAUAUUUCAAAAAAUAAUGCAACAACUACUAACAUAAUUCUAACAGACUUUUAGCAUCGCUACGAGUGAGAAAGUCUCACCAUAGUCAACUGUUUGAUCAUGUUGGAAACACCUUUGCGACCAGUCGAGCUUUUCUUAAUAGUGACUUAUCACCAUCGUCGUCUGUCUUCCUUUUAAAGAUCCAUCUUUACUCAACAGUCCUAUGACCAUCAAGUAGUUCUUCCAAAGUCUACACUUUGUUUUCAUACAUGGAUCCUCUCUAGGAUUUCAUGGCUUCCAGCCAUUUGUCGGAAUCCGGGCCCCCCAUUGCUUUCUCCAUAACUCGUAGGUUCACUGUUGCUCAACAACAUGACCUCCAAGACAGGGUUACCGUACCACUCUGCAGUAGUACGCGACCUUGUCAACCUACGAGGCUUGUAGUAACUUGAUCCGAUGCUCGAUGAUCACCAUCAUCAGCUUUCACUUCAAUUGGUGUAGGCGCCACAGGAACAACUUCAUGCGCCCUGCUACACACUAGUCGAAGUGAUGGUUCAAUAACCUCAUCAAGUUCUACCACCCUCCCACUCAAUUCUUUCGAGCGAAACCUUUCCUCGAGAAAGGAUCCGUUUCUGGAAAGAAACACUUUGCUUUCAGAUCUGAGAUAGGAGAUGUACCCAACUGUUUUGGAUAUCCUAUGAAGAUGCAUUUAUCCGCUUUGGGUUCGAACUUAUGAGACUGAAACUUUUUCACAUAAGUGUCGAAGCCCCAAACUUUCAAGAAACGACAGCUUAGAUUUCUCUAAACCUCAGUAUAUACUGUGUCAUCUCAACGGAAAUACGCGGUGCCCUAUUUAAAGUGAAUGCGGUUGUCUCUAAUGCAUAACCCAUAAACGAUAGUGGUAAUUCGAUAAGAGACAUCAUAGUAUGCACCAUACCAAAUAGUGCGUGGCUAUGACGUUCAGACACAUCAUCACACUAUGAUGUUCCAGGUGGCAUGAAUUGCGAAACAAUUUCCACAUUGUCUUAACUGCGUACCAAAACUCGUAACUCAGAUAUUCAUUUCUAUGAUCAUAUCGUAGACUGUUUAUCAUCUUGUUACGACGAACUUCACACUGAAACAGAAUUGAAUUUUUCAAUAUUUCAGACUUGUGAUUCAUUAAGUAAAUACUCUUGUAUCUACUCAAAUCGUCAUUGAAGUAAGAACAUAAUGAUAUCCACUGCGUGCCUUAGCACCCAUUGGACUGCAUACAUAAAAAUGUAUCACUUCCAACAAGUUACUAUCUUGUUUCAUCUCAAUGAAAACAAGGCCUCGCUCAUGUGGUAUGAUUUGCAUGUCACAAGUGAUUCAAAAUCAAGUGAGUAUAAAGAUCCAUCAGCAUGGAGCCUCUUCAUGCAAUUUAUACCAACAUGACUCAAGCGGCGGUGCCACAAGUAAGUGGUACUAUCAUCAUUACCUUGUUUCUUUUGGCACCAAUAUCAUGAACAUGUGUAACACUACGAUCGAGAUUCAAUAAACCAUUGAAGGUGAUUAUUCAAGCAAAUAGAGUAACCAUUAUUCUCUUUAAAUGAAUAAUCGUAUUGCAAUAAAUACGAUCCAAUCAUGUUCAUGCUUAACGCAAGCACCAAAUAACAAUUAUUUAGGUUUAACACCAAUCCCGAUGGUAGAGGGAGUGUGCGACGUUUGAUCAUAUCAACCUUGGAAACACUUCCAACACGUAUCGUCACCUAGCCUUUAGCUAGUCUCCGUUUAUGUCGUAGCUUUCAUUUCGUGUUACUAAUCACUUAGCAACCGAACCGGUAUCCAAUACCCUCGUGCUACUAGGAGUACUAGUAAAGUACACAUCAACAUCAUGUAUAUCAAAUAUACUUCUUUCGACUUUUGCCAGCCUUCUUAUCUACCAAGUAUCUAGAGUUGCUCCGCCUUAGUGACCGUUCCCCUCAUGACAGAAGCACUUAGUCCGGGGCUUGGGUUUAAUCUUGGGUCUCUUCAUUAGUGCAGCAACUGCUUUGCCGUUUCACGAAGUAUCCCUUCUAGCCCUUGCCUUUCUCGAAACUUAGUGGUUUUACUAACCAUCAACUAUUGAUGCUCCUUCUUGAUUUCUACUUUCACGGUGUCCAACAUCGCGAAUCGCUCAAGGAUCAUUGUAUCUAUCCUUGAUAUGUUAUAGUUCAUCACGAAGCUCUCACAGCUUGGUGGCAGUGACUUUGGAGAACCAUCACUAUCUUAUCUGGAAGAUCAACUCCCACUUGAUUCAAGCGAUUGUCGUACUCAGAUAAUCUGAGCAGACGCUCAAUGAUUGAGCUUUUCUCCUCUACUUCGUGGACAAAGAAUCUUGUCGGAGGUCUCAUACCUCUUAACAAGGGCACAAACAUGAAAUCACAAUUUCAUACCUCAUAUGUUCCGUGACGUUUCAAAACGUCUUCGGCGCCUUGCUUCUAAGCCAUUAAGUAUUUUGUACUGAACUAUCGUGUAGUCAUCAGAAACGUGUAUGUCGGAUGUUCACAACAUCUACAGACGACGCUCGAGGUGCAGCACACCGAGUGGUACAUUAAGGACAUAAGCCUUCUGCGCAGCAACGAGGACAAUCCUCGGUUUUACAGACUUAGUCUGCAAAGUUUGCUACUAUCAACUUUCAACUAAAUUUUCUCUAGGAACAUAUAAAAACAGUAGAGCUAUAGCGCAAGCUACAUCGUAAUUCGCAAAGACCAUUAGACUAUGUUCAUGACAAUUAGUUCAAUUAAUCAUAUUACUUAAGAACUCCCACUCAAAAAGUACAUCUCUCUAGUCAUUUGAGUGGUACAUGAUCCAAAUCCACUAUCUCAAGUCCGAUCAUCACGUGAGUCGAGAAUAGCUUCAGUGGUAAGCAUGUCUAUGCUAAUCAUAUCAACUAUACGAUUCAUGCUCGACCUUUCGGUCUCAUGUGUUCCGAGGCCAUGUCUGCACAUGCUAGGCUCGUCAAGCUUAACCCGAGUGUUCUGCGUGUGCAACUGUUUUGCACCCGUUGUAUGUGAACGUUGAGUCUAUCACACCCGAUCAUCACGUGGUGUCUUGAAACGAAGAACUGUCGCAACGGUGCACAGUCGGGGAGAACACAAUUUCGUCUUGAAAUUUUAGUGAGAGAUCACCUCAUAAUGCUACCUCGUUCUAAGCAAGAUAAGGUGCAUAAAGGAUUAACAUCACAUGCAAUUCAUAAGUGACAUGAUAUGGCCAUCAUCAUGCGCUUCUUGAUCUCCAUCACCAAAGAACCAGCACGAUCUUCUUGUCACCGGCGUCACACCAUGAUCUCCAUCAUCAUGAUCUCCAUCAACGUGUCGCCAUCGGGGUUGUCGUGCUACUCAUGCUAUUACUACUAAAGCUACGUCCUAGCAAUAUAGUAAACGCAUCUGCAAGCACAAACGUUAGUUUAAAGACAACCCUAUGGCUCCUGCCGGUUGCCGUACCAUCGACGUGCAAGUCGAUUUAACUAUUACAACAUGAUCAUCUCAUACAUCCAAUAUAUCACAUCACAUCGUUGGCCAUAUCACAUCACAAGCAUACCCUGCAAAAACAAGUUAGACGUCCUCUAAUUGUUGUUGCAUGUUUUACGUGGUGACCAUGGGUAUCUAGUAGGAUCGCAUCUUACUUACGCAAACACCACAACGGAGAUAUAUGAAUUGCUAUUUAACCUCAUCCAAGGACCUCCUCGGUCAAAUCCGAUUCAACUAAAGUUGGAGAGACCGACACUCGCCGGUCAUCUUAGAGCAACAGAGUUACUCGUAGCAAUGAAACCAGUCUCUCGUAAGCGUACGAGUAAUGUCGGUCCGAGCAGCUUCGAUCCAACAAUACCGCGGAAUCAAGAAAAGACUAAGAAGGGCAGAAAAACGCACAUCACCGCCCACAAAAACUUUUGUGUUCUACUCGAGAAGACAUCUACGCAUGAACCUAGCUCAUGAUGCCACUGUUGAUGAACGUCGCAUAGGAAACAAAAAAUUUCCUACGCGCACGAAGACCUAUCAUGGUGAUGUCCAUCUACGAGAGGGGAUUUCUGAUCUACGUACCCUUGUAGAUCACACAGCAGAAGCGUUAAGAAACGCGGUUGAUGUAGUGGAACGUCCUCACGUCCCUCGAUCCGCCCCGCGAACCAUCCCACGAACCGUCCCGCGAUCCGUCCCACGAUCCAAUCCGAUCUAGUGCCGAACGGACGACACCUCCGCGUUCAGCACACGUACAGCUCGACGAUGAUCUCAGCCUUCUUGAUCCAGCAAGAGAGACGGAGAGGUAGAUGAGUUCUGCGGCAGCGUGACGGCGCUCCGGAGGUUGGUGGUGAUCUAAUCUCAGCAGGGCUCCGCCCGAGCUCCGCAGAAACGCGAUCUAGAGGUAAAACCGUGGAGGUAUGUGGUCGGGCUGCCGUGGCAAAAGUUGUCUCAAAUCAGCCCUAAAAUCCCACUACAUAUAGGAGGGAGGGGAGGAGGCAGCCUCAAAACCUAAAGGUUUGGCCGAAAUUGGAGGUGGAGGAGUCCUACUCCAAUCCUACUUGGAGUAGGAUUCCACCUUCCCACUUGGAAACUCUUUCCACCUUGUGUUUUUUCCUUCUCAAACCUUAUGGGCCUUAGUGGGAACUUAUUCCAGCCCACUAGGGGCUGGUUUAUCUCUUCCCAUAGCCCAUGAGACCCCUUGGGGCGUGACACCCCUCCUGAUGGUCCUCGGCACCCCUCCUGGCACUCCCAGUACACCACCGAUGAGCCCGAAACUUUUCCGGUAAUGCACGAAAACCUUCCGGUAACCAAAUGAGGUCAUCCUAUAUAUCAAUCUUCGUUUCCGGACCAUUCCCGAAACCCUCGUCACGUCCGUGAUCUCAUCCGGGACUCCGAAUAACAUUCGCUAGCCAACCAUAUAACUCAAAUACGCAUAAAACAACGUCGAACCUUAAGUGUGCAGACCCUACGGGUUCGAGAACUAUGUAGACAUGACCCGAGUGACUCCUCGGUCAAUAUCUGAUAGCGGGACCUGGAUGCCGAUAUUGGAUCCUACAUAUUCUACGAAGAUCUUAUCGUUUGAACCUCAGUGCCAAGGAUUCAUAUAAUCCCGUAUGUCAUUCCCUUUGUCCUUCGCUAUGUUACUUGCCUCAGAUUCGAUCGUCAGUAUCCGCAUACCUAUUUCAAUCUCGUUUACCGGCAAGUCUCUUUACUCGUUCCGUAAUACAAGAUCCCGCAACUUUCACUAAGUCACAUUGCUUGCAAGGCUUGUGUGUGAUGUUGUAUUACCGAGUGGGCCCCGAGAUACCUCUCCGUCAUACGGAGUGACAAAUCCCAGUCUUGAUCCAUACUAACUCAACGAACACCUUUGGAGAUACCUGUAGAGCAUCUUUAUAGUCACCCAGUUACGUUGCGACGUUUGAUACACACAAAGCAUUCCUCCGGUGUCAGUGAGUUAUAUGAUCUCAUGGUCAUAGGAACAAAUACUUGACACGCAGAAAACAGUAGCAACAAAAUGACACGAUCAACAUGCUACGUCUAUUAGUUUGGGUCUAGUCCAUCACAUGAUUCUCCUAAUGAUGUGAUCCUGUUAUCAAGUAACAACACUUGCCUAUGGCCAGGAAACCUUGACCAUCUUUGAUCAACGAGCUAGUCAACUAGAGGCUUACUAGGGACAGUGUUUUGUCUAUGUAUCCACACAAGUAUUGUGUUUCCAAUCAAUACAAUUAUAGCAUGGAUAAUAAACGAUUAUCAUGAACAAANAGUGGGCCCCGAGAUACCUCUCCGUCAUACGGAGUGACAAAUCCCAGUCUUGAUCCAUACUAACUCAACGAACACCUUUGGAGAUACCUGUAGAGCAUCUUUAUAGUCACCCAGUUACGUUGCGACGUUUGAUACACACAAAGCAUUCCUCCGGUGUCAGUGAGUUAUAUGAUCUCAUGGUCAUAGGAACAAAUACUUGACACGCAGAAAACAGUAGCAACAAAAUGACACGAUCAACAUGCUACGUCUAUUAGUUUGGGUCUAGUCCAUCACAUGAUUCUCCUAAUGAUGUGAUCCUGUUAUCAAGUAACAACACUUGCCUAUGGCCAGGAAACCUUGACCAUCUUUGAUCAACGAGCUAGUCAACUAGAGGCUUACUAGGGACAGUGUUUUGUCUAUGUAUCCACACAAGUAUUGUGUUUCCAAUCAAUACAAUUAUAGCAUGGAUAAUAAACGAUUAUCAUGAACAAAGAAAUAUAAUAAUAAGUAAUUAUUAUUGCCUCUAGGGCAUAUUUCGAACAUGCAUGUCAUGCGCACUCGGAGCGAGUUGAUACUCAUGUAGUUGUUAGUUGUCUCGACAUCCACAUGAGCCUCAAUGAGGGUCUGCUAAGCCUCCGAGUGGAUCUCUAGGAUACACUCGAAGGAAGCUUUUUUACUUAGGAGAUUCUAGAUCGCAGCUAAGUCCCCAAGUGCGCAUCUCGUGCGCACUCGGAGCGAGUUGAUACUCAUAUAGUUGUCAGUUGUCUCGACAUCCACAUGAGCCUCAAUGAGGGUCUGCUAAGCCUCUGAGUGGAUCUCUAGGAUACACUCGAAGGAAGCUUUUUACUUAGGCGAUUCUGGAUCGCAGCUAUGUCCCCGAGUGCGCAUCUCGUGCGCACUCGGAGCGAGUUGAUACUCAUGUAGUUGUCAGUUGUCUCGACAUCCACAUGAGCCUCAAUGAGGGUCUGCUAAGCCUCCGAGUGGAUCUCGAGGAUACACUCGAAGGAAGCUUUUUUACUUAGGCGAUUCUGGAUCGCAGCUAAGUCCCCGAGUAUGACGUUUAGUGCACACUCGAAGAAAGUCUGUACUUAGGUGAUUCUGGAUCGCAGCUAAGUCCCCGAGUGUGACGUUUAGUGCACACUCGGAGAAAGUUUGUACUUAGGCAAUUCUGGAUCGCAGCUAAGUCCCCGACUGUGACGCUUAGUGCACACUCGGAGAAAGUUUGUACUUAGGCGAUUCCGGAUCGCAGCUAAGUCCUCGAGUGUGACGUUUAGUGCACACUCGGAGAAAGUAUGUACUUAGGCGAUUCUGGAUCGCAGCUAAGUUUUUUUUUGAGACCGGAGUCUGCCAACGCGGAAGAAUCUUGAAUCUGCAAAAAAUCAAUCUGCUUUGUAUUACUUCAAUGAUACUUGUUCUUUACAUUGCCCCAUUCGGCGGUCACGUGUAGAAGCGCUUCAGGAGAUCUCCGUUCCAUGUUCGCGGCUCAUCCGUUUCCCUGUCGAGGUUGUAGAGUCGAUAUGCUCCGUUGUUCAGCACCUUGGAGAUGAUGAAGGGUCCUUCCCAAGCGGGAGCCAACUUGUGAGGUCUGUGCUGAUCCACUCGGAGCACCAGGUCGCCUGCUUGGAAUGUACGACUCCUGACGUGCCGCGCGUGAAAUUGCCGCAGAUCUUGUUGAUAAAUGGUUGAGCGAGUCAGUGCCAUCUCGCGCUCCUCUUCUAGAAGAUCCACUCCGUCUUGCCUGGCUUGCUCUGCUUCGGCUUCGGAGAAGAGUUCGACUCGUGGAGCGUUGUGAAGCAAGUCACUCGGAAGGACUGUCUCUGCUCCGUAAACGAGGAAGAACGGGGAUCGCCCUGUAGAUCUAUUGAUUUGGAGUUGUGCGGAGGCCCCACAACACCGAAGGCAGCUCAGUGACCCAUGCGCCGGCAGCAUGUCCAACUUCCCACAGGAGUCGAGGCUUCAACCCUUGAAGAAUAAGUCCAUUCGCCCGCUCUGCUUGCCCGUUUGUUUGGGGAUGCGCCACAGAUGCAAAAUCCACUCAGAUACCUUGGCCUGUACAGAAACCUUUGAAUUUGUCCGAGUCAAAGUUUGUGCCAUUGUCAGUGAUUAUGUUGUGUGGUACCCCGAAUCUGGAGAUGAUGUCCCUGACAAACUUGAUGGCCGUAAGGCCGUCGAGUUUCUUGAUGGGCUUGGCUUCAAUCCACUUGGUGAACUUGUCGACUGCCACCAACAGAUGUGUGAAUCCACCUUGGCCUGUCCUGAAUGGACCGACUGUAUCUAAUCCCCACACUGCAAACGGCCAAACAAGGGGGAUUGUCUUCAGCGCAGACGUUGGCUUGUGAGACUUGUUCGAGUAGAACUGAUAGCCUUCGCAUCAGUCGACCAUAUCCUUCGCCAUUUCAUUCGCCUGCAACCAGAAGAAACUAGCUCUGAAUGCUUUGGCGACGAUUGCUCUUGAGGAGGCAUGAUGACCGCAAGUUCCCGAGUGAAUUUCUUCCAGGAUUAACUGCCCCUCCUCAGGGGAGAUGCAUCAUUGAAGGAUGCCUGAAACACUUUCUUUGUACAACUGGCCAUCAAUGACGGUGAACGACUUCGACCUGCAGACGAUCUGUCUGGCUUGGACCUCAUCUUCUGGUAAUUCUCGCCUUAGGAUGUACGCAAUGAACGACACAGUCCAAUCGGGGAUGAUAGCAAGAAUCUCCAUGAUCAGAUCAACCACAACGGGGACCUCGACUUUAGUCGGAUCUAUCGAGCUCUUUGGUUGUACUGGUUCCUCUGUGAAGGGAUCUUCUUUAACCGAGGGAAGGUGUAGGUGCUCGAGGCAGACAUCACUCGGGACUGGUCUCCGAGUGGAUCCAAGUUUCGCCAACUCAUCAGCUGCUUGGUUUUUCAGUCGUGGAACAUGGUGGAGUUCGAGACCUUCAAACUUUUUCUCGAGCUUCCUCACUGCGUUGCAGUAUGUAGUCAUGGUGGGGUUCCUUACGUCCCACUCCUUCAUCACUUGAUUAACCACCAAAUCCGAAUCGCCAUAGACCAUCAGGCGACGGACGCCGAGUGUGAUGGCCAUGCGCAAUCCAUAAAGGAGAGCUUCAUACUCUGCCUCGUUGUUGGAGGAAUCAAAAUGUAUCUACAACACAUACUUGAAUUUGUCACCUUUUGGCGAUAUGACCACAACGCCAGCGCCGGAGCCAUUCAACAUCUUGGACCCAUCGAAGAACAUUGUCCAAUGAGCCGAGUAGAUGUGGGUCGGUUGCUGUUGUUCUACCCAUUCUGCUAUGAAGUCAGCCAGGGCUUGAGACUUUAUAGCUUUCUUGGCCUCGAACUUGAUGUCGCAGUAUAACAUCUCCAUUGCCCACUUCGCCACUCGGCCUGAUGCGUCCCAAUUGUGGAGGAUUUCCGACAACGGAGCAUCAGAAACGACAGUCACCGAGUGGUCUUGGAAAUAAUGGGCCACCUUCUUCGCAGUCAUGUAAAUCCCGUAAAUAAGCUUUUGAUAAUGGGGAUACCUCUGCUUGGAAGGUGUCAGGACUUCGGAGACAUAAUACACUGGCCGCUGAACCUUGUAUGCCUUGCCUUCUUCUUCGUGUUCGACUGUGAGAACAGUGCUGACGACUUGAUUUGUAGCCGCGAUGUACAGAAGAAGGGGUUCUUUACUGAGCGGAGCAGUAAGAACCGGCUGGGUGGAAAGCAGGGCUUUGAGGUCGUCGAAUGCAAUCUGGGCUUCGUCUGUCCACUCGAAAGUAUCUGAUUUCUUCAUGAGUUGGUACAGAGGUAGCGCUUUCUCACCGAGUCAACUGAUAAACCUGCUCAAAGCUGCUAGGCAACCUGUGAGCCUUUGAACAUCGUGUAUUCUGACCGGCUGCUCCAUUCGGACGAUGGUCCCGAUCUUUUCGGGGUUGACAUCUAUCCCUCGUUCGAAAACGAAGAAACCGAGUAACUUUCCGCUGGGAACACCGAAUGAACACUUGGCAGGGUUGAGCUUGAUACCGUACCUACGAAGGUUGGCGAAUGUUUCUGCCAAGUCAGUCAGCAGGUCGGAACCUUUGCGUGACUUGACUACGAUAUCAUCCAUAUACGCUUCCACAUUUCGACCGCUCUGGUCAAGGAGGCAUUUUUGGAUCAUGUGCAUAAAAGUUGCUCCUGCAUUCUUCAAACCGAACGGCAUAGUGAUGUAGCAGAAGCACCCGAAUGGGGUGAUGAAGGCUGUUUUUAAUUCAUCAGGGCCAUACAGACGGAUCUGAUGAUGGCCCGAGUAGGCAUCAAGGAAUGACAAACGCUCGCAACCCACAGUCGAAUCGACAAUUUGAUCAAUGCGGGGGAGCGGGAAAUGGUCUUUCGGGCAGACCUUAUUGAGAUGCUUGAAGUCGAUGCACAUUCGGAGAGACUUGUCCUUCUUGGGCACCAUAACGACAUUGGCGAGCCACUCGGAGUGGUGUACCUCGCGAAUGAAGUUAGCUGCCAAAAGUUUAGCCACCUCCUCUCCGAUUGCCUUCCUCUUGUGCGCGGCGAACCGACGCAGGUGUUCUCGGACAGGCCGAGCAGCAGGAUCCACACGCAGUCGGUGCUCAGCUAACUCCCUGGGUACACCUGGCAUGUCAGCGGGCUUCCAUGCGAAGACGUCCCAGUUCUCAUGGAGGAAUUGGAUGAGCUCGGCUUCCUAUUUUGGAUCGAGGGUGGUGGAGAUGUUCGUCGGGGCAGCGGUGUCGUCCGUCGGGUGGAUGUUGACCUUCUUCGUGUCUCGCGCCGACUGGAAUGCGCACUCCGAAGCUGGCUUCUUCGAACGCAUCAAGUCAGCGGGGUCGACUGUCUUCUUGUACUCAUCGAGCUCGAGGAUAGCCAUCUGCUGAUCGGCGAUCCUCGACCCCUGCUGCAUACACUCCUCAGCCCGCUGCCGAUUGCCUGUGACAGUGAUCACACCUUUGGGACCUGGCAUCUUCAGCUUCAGGUACACGUAACAUGGACGGGCCAUGAAACGCGCAUACGCCGGACGGCCCAGAAUCGCGUGGCAUGCACUCUGGAAGUCCACCACCUCGAAUGUCAGCUUUUCCUUGCGGAAGUUCUUGUCGGAGCCAAAAACGACGUCCAAAGAGAUAUGGCCGAGUGACUUGGCCUUUCGUCCACGGACGACUCCGUGGAACUGCAUGCUGCUCUCGCUAAGUUUGGACAUCGGAAUGCCCAUCCCCUUGAGAGUGUCGGCGUACAUGAUGUUCAAGCCGCUGCCGCCGUCCAUGAGGACUUUGCGCAGUCGGACUCCUUCCACCACCGGGUCGACGACCAGAGCCUGCCUCCCUGGGGUGGGCACGUGUGCUGGAUGAUCCGACUGGUCAAAGGUGAUCGCUGUCUGAGACCAUUUGAGGAACGUGGGGUUGGUUGGGGUGGCCAUGUUCACCUCCCUGUUCACCAGCUUCAGACGACUCUUGCUUUCCACGUCAGCAAAAUCAUCAGUGUUGCAUGGACUUGGGGGAACGGAUCCUCCUUGUCCUCAUCAUCCUGUUCGUUGUCCUUUUCACUCAGUUGCCCUUCGCCGAACCCUUGGACCAGGAGGCGACAUUGCCGAGUGGUAUGCUUCGGGAAUAUGGCGUUGCCUUCUUCGUCCAUCUUCGUGUGGAUUUGACAUGGCUGAUCCAGGAUGUGGUUUCCGAACUGCUUCUUCUUGGGGGUGAACUGAGCCUUCCCCUUGCCCUUGAACUUGGCAUUGGUAACGGCUGCGGCCUCUGCCUGCGGAGUGGAUGGAGCUUUCUGCUCCUGCUUCCGAGUGCUGUUCCCAUCUCCAUCGGCGACUGCUUUAUGCUUGCCGCUACGAAUGCGGUCCUCUUCUUCACCAUUUGCAUAGCGUGCCACUAUCUCCAUCAUCUUGCUCAUGGAGAUGUCGCCUGUCCGACCGAACUUCAGGUACAGGUCUCUGUACUGCACGCCUGCCUUGAAGGUGCAGACUGCUUGGUGCUCUAUGACAUUCUCCACUGUGUGGUAGAGGGUUGUCCAACGCUGGAUGAAAUCGCGCAGGGGCUCAUUCUGCUUCUGGACACAAUGCUGGAGCUCCACGAGACCAGCAGGGCGUUUGCACGUCCCCUCGAACGUCCUGAUGAAGACUCGGGCCAGGUCUGCCCAGCUGUAGAUGCUUGAAGGAGCUAACUGGUUCAGCCACGCUCGUGCCGAGCCGUCGAGCAUCAGGGGGAGAUGUUUCAUGGCGACCUGGUCAUCACCACCACCGAUCUGGACCGCCACCCGGUAGUCGUCUAGCCACGUUUCUGGCUUGGAUUCUCCUGUAAACUUGCUGAUCCCCGUCGCCAAUCAGAAGUUGGGAGGGAUGUCAGCCGAACGGAUGGCCCGACAGAAACACUCGGGGCCAGAGACGAUGGUCCUGCUUCCACUCGGACGGUCUCUAUCGUGACCAUCACGGUGGGCUCGACUCCUGUCGACCUUCCUCUAGGCGAUGUACCCUCUUGCGUCGGGCCUUGGAUCAUAAGUGUCACCGAUCGAACGCCGAUCAUCAUGAUGUCGGGGCCCGUAGGGCUCACCCGGCGGAGGGGUGCGUGAACGGCGACGAUCUUCGGGGUUCAUGGAACGGCUGCCUCCUCUGUGUCGCUGAUGAGAAUCGGGGCUGAAAACUGACCGAUGCGUGUUCGUGUGAACAGAACUAUUGUGGAUCCUGUUGUGCGACUGGGAGACCGCUGAAUUCUGUUGCUGUGCCGUGUGCAACAGCGCACAAAUCUGCUCAAUCCCUUUGCCAGCCUCUGAAUCAGUCGGCUGGAGGGAAUCGGCUAUCUUGGCAGCGGCAGCCAGGUUGAGGACGGGUGUGCGGAACACCUCGAUGUUGCUCUGACGAGUGCGUCAACUAGCAGAACGGCGGGGCUGACGGCGAGCGCCGGAUGACUCGCCGACCUCGUGCUCGUUCCGACCAGUUUGGCGGGGACUUUCAUGGGAAUUGGCCAUGUGAACUUCGGCUGCAGGCCCGCGACCCAAGUACUCGGAAGGCAACUCAGUCGGAAUUGAGUCCGAGCGCUGGGACGACGGCGCAACCACAACCGACUCGAGGACCGCCACUUGAGAGGACGCGUUCUGGCGCGCCUGGGCGUGUCGCACCCAACGCUGGAGCCGCGGACGGCGAGACCGCUUGUUGCGGCACGUGACGAGGGCGAGGAUCGACACCGGAGCCGACUGUUGGAGAAGAAGGAUGCCGCGGGAGCCGACACGGAAGUGCGUAGCCCCGCGACUGGGGAGCGCCUCGACAUCGAGAGGUGCAUCCCGAAGCCAUGCCGAAUCAUCGACGAUGAAGGAGAGUGCGUCGAAGAGGAUCUCACGACCCAUGCACAAAUCUCCACCGGACGACAUGAUGAAAAGAUGUAGUUGCAAACUCGCCGGAAGUCGCUUAGAUGCCUGCCCCAUGGUGGGCGCCAACUGUCGUGGGUAUAAGUCUGACAGUAGAUGUGUAGGGUACGAAAGGAUGGGCAGAGCCUUAGCUACGGCGAGGUUGUAUGAGUUCAGGCCCCUCUACGGUGGAGGUAAAAUCCCUACGUCUCAGUGCUCUUGGGAGCUUAAUGUCGAGUGAAAUAUGGAUUACAGUGAAAAUGCUAUCCCCUGCACCAGUGGGGAGGGGCGGCUUAUAUAGAGUACGCUGCCCUUCACAACGGUCCGGUGCACAGGGGUGGAGUAGUGGCGAAUAAAUGCCUACAUUACAGGUAACAUAUGCCUUAAAUGCUAAUAAUGGUGUAUGAAAACGUACGACCGUUGCCCUCCAGGGAGGUUACGAUAUACAGAGUGGAAUCCAGUCGGCAGUUUAAUACGCUCCGAGUGCUCAUCUCCGACUGGAUGAUGGGGGGAAUCAUUACCGACUGGAUGAUGGGAAGUCCUUAAUUCAGUCGGAACUGACUAAGGGCCUUGUCCCUUAAGAAGGGUAGUCCUUGGGUAGGACCUAUAGGGCAGGCCUAUGAUCCUACCCUGGGACUAUGACCCCAUCANAUUACAGGUAACAUAUGCCUUAAAUGCUAAUAAUGGUGUAUGAAAACGUACGACCGUUGCCCUCCAGGGAGGUUACGAUAUACAGAGUGGAAUCCAGUCGGCAGUUUAAUACGCUCCGAGUGCUCAUCUCCGACUGGAUGAUGGGGGGAAUCAUUACCGACUGGAUGAUGGGAAGUCCUUAAUUCAGUCGGAACUGACUAAGGGCCUUGUCCCUUAAGAAGGGUAGUCCUUGGGUAGGACCUAUAGGGCAGGCCUAUGAUCCUACCCUGGGACUAUGACCCCAUCAGCUACCAACUCCUUCUUUAGGAGUAGAGAUUGCAUUGAUGAGAUUAGUUGAUUUGGAUAAGUUAGGAAAGUUAGAUCCAUUAUCCUUUAUAUGUUAGAAAAGUGUUGGUUUGCGAGGAAUGAGUAGAGAGAAAAAUAACCGGUGGACAAGGAAACCAACAUGGAGGGGUGGUGGUGGUGGGAGAUGGAGGCAAAAAUAAAUCAUGGUGGCAAAAAAAAUGUGCACCAGCCUUCCAACUCCUCCUUUUGGAAUAAAGAUUGAAAGAGUGGCGGCGUACUGUUCUUUGUGGGGUUUGGCUUUUCGAUGAGAGAGAAAGAUCGAGUGGGAAGGGUGGUGGAAGGUGAGGCGGAACAAAACUAUGGGUACCGACCUACCAACUUGUCUUUUAGGAAUAAAGAUUUGUUUGUCGCACGAGACAUACGUGAAGUAACCGACGGAAGAAGGAAGGAAUCAAGCACGAGCAAAAUGUUUUUUACCAUAUGUUUUUAUUUAUAGGUAGUAGAAGCAUAAUUGCUCUCAUAACGAGAUUUGUUUUUCAUGAUUUAUAUGUUAUUUUCUUUAAAAUUUGUUAUUUAUUUCUUUAAAUUUUUAUUUGUUUCUUGAAAAGUUUUGUUUAAAAUAAAUAAAUAAAUUACACUAAUGAGAUAUAUCAAUUGAUUUGGAUAAGUUAUAUUUUUUUAUCAGUGAUCUUUUGUAUAUUAAAAAAGUGUUAAUUUGCAAGAAAAGAAUGAAGAGAAAAGAAACCAAUGGAUAAGAAAACCAAUUUAAAGUGGGGUGGUGGGAGGUGUAACCGAACAGAAAAAAUUAUAUACCAGGCUACCAAGUAAAGGUAAGCAUCCUAAUUAAAAAUACGACUAAUUAAUUAGUUGUAUUAAUGAGUUGAUUUUAUAAUUGAUUUGGUCUGAAAAAAUUCUACUUAAACAAAUUAAAUUAAUUGCUGGUGUGACUAAUUAAUUACAUUAAUGACUUGAUUUUUAAAUUGAUUUAGUGUUUAGUUUUCAAAUUAGACGAACAGUGUACAGUCUCUCCAUUAAGAGUAGGGAUAGAUGGCCUUGUAAGCAGAUGUAAUCUUAUGCUAUCACCUCCCCAUUAAGAGAAAGGAUAGAUGGCCUUGUAAGCGGAUGUAAUCCUAUGCUAUCACUCUCCUUCCAUCAAUGAAAAAAACUACUCAAUCUUUACCAAAAUAACGGCUUCAUCGUUUGCUUUCAUUUCUAAAGAAAACAAGCGCACCUUGGAACGAUAAAAGACUUCAGGUUAUUUAUAGUGAAGAGUAUCAUAUAGUAGUACCAUGCGUAUGAUACUGUUAUAUUAUACUAUCUUCAUAAGGUUGGUUGUAAUGAGAAGUAUCAUAUACUAGUAUCAUGCAUAUGGUACUAGUGUAUGAUACUACAUCAUAAUGCAAAAUAUCAUGUGUUAGCAUCAUAUGACAGCUUAUUUAUUGCCAUGCAUGGCAUAUAGUAGCACAAUUUUUAAUAUGAUACUUAACCCUCUCUUCCCUCAUUUAAUUCUAUGUCACCUCAUCAAAAUUGUUUAGUUGACAUGCAUGGUACUACCUAUGAUAUUCCUAUUACAACCAACCUAAAGUUGGUCCUAAUGGAGAGUAUCAUAUGCUAGUAUCAUGCAUAUGAUACUGAUGUAUGAUACUAUAUCCGUAAUGCAUAGUAUCAUAGAGUAGCUCAUUUAUUAUCAUGCGUGACACAUAUUAGCAUAAUAUUUAAUAUGAUACAGUAUCAUGAUAUGAUACUCGACCCUCUUUUCUUCAUUUAAUUCUAUGCCACCUCUUCAAAAUUACUACUCCCUUCGUCCCGGUGUAUAAGUCAUUCGCGUAGUUCUAGGUCACCGAUUUGAGAAAUUAAAUAUGUGUUAUAUAUCAUGAAAAGUAUAUCACUAGAUUUCUACACGGAUGUAGUUUUUAAAUAAUUUUUUUGUCACAUAUGAUAUAUAUUUAGAUAAUUAAAUUGUCGACCUAGAACUACGCGAAUGACUUAUACACCGAGACGGAGGUAGUAGUUGGUAUGCAUGAUACUACUUAUGAUACUCCCAUUACGAGGAACCAUGAUGCAUAGUAUCAUACAUCAGUAUCAUAGUUGACCUUAUUUAUUAACAUGCAUGACACAUAAUAACAUAACAUUUAACAUGAUACAAUAUCUACCUAUGUUACUAUAAGACAUGUGACAAAUGCUAUUUUCUUAACGCGGUUUCAUAGGCAUUUUGCUUACGUGGCAUACCAAUUAAUGAAGAAAGAAAGUAAUAUUAUAUCUUGGCUAACAUACAACCCUUGCACGUCACCAUAGUCAAAAAAUGAUUUUAGUCCAAUCAUGUGCGUGCAUUACUUUAAAUUAUUAAAUGUAGAUACUACAACUCAUAAGAAACAAUGCAUUGACAUGAUUGUAUUAUCAAUGAUCAUAUGAUAACGUGAUAAAAGACAAUGCAUUGACACAUGUCUAACCCUCUUUUGUUAAUUAUAUACUGCAUCAAUAUGUUUACUAAUCUCAAAUAUAUAAUACACUAUCAAUGCCCAGCCUCAUGGAAUCCGAGAGAGUGGGCUCUACGAAGUAGCCGCCAUCCCCCACCCACUUGUGCGCUCGGGCUCAGCACUCACCUAUUAGUGUCUCUCUCUCUCUUCUUCUCGCGACGGGCCUUCUACUCCUUCGCCGUCUUCCAACCAACCCCUCCUCCCCUCCCUCCAAGUCCCAAUCCCAAAACCUCGCGGGCUGUACGCCUGCGCUGCGCGAGAUGGUUCCCGCAGGCCACCUCCUCCUCCUUCUCGUGCUCGCUUCCCUCGGGGUCGCGGCGGCGGCCGGCGCCGACGAGGGGUUCUGCUCGGCUGAACCGUCCAACGAUGGCUCCCAGUGGCCGCCGCUCUACUCGAAGGUCACCAGUCCCACCCUCGCACCUGUGCAUUUGCAAGGUACUGUACCUCUCUACACCACCACAGUCGGGCGCAUCGUUCGCCCCCUACUCGGAUUUUCCAAUUUUAGGAUGUCCGUGGCCAUAGGAAAUGUUGUUGUUGUUUAUAUGAUGAUCACUCAUGCAGUCAUAUAUCAAUUCUCUCAAAAAAGAAGUAGUCAUGUGUCACAAUAAGCACCCACGCCAUCAUACAUGGCAUGACAAAACCUAUUUAUUUCCCCAAAAGCACCUGUGUUGCACAUUGUACGCCCUAAUUUAACUGAUGGAGCGAUAGUGAUGGUCCACACAAAUAGGGAGCUUAUGGAAAACGGAUGCAUGCUAACUAUAAUACUAUAAAGUAUACAGCCUAGGAAAUUAGAAGGAUGUUUUGAUUAUAGUCAUAUCAAUGGUUGUAUGUUGUUGUACCCGUGGUGCAGUAGGGGCCACUCCUGUUCUACAUUUUUGGACCAUACAAGCUCUUCCACUGGAUGCCGGAUUGCCAUUUAGUGGUGGUUUUAUGUCUUGGUAGUACUGUGGAGGUGAUCGUAUUAGAUCAAAUGGCAGGUGCAAAAGUGUCAUGGGUGCAUAUGUUGGUGCUGGGUGCACAGCAUGAGGAGGCCCUGCGAGUGGCUGCCCUGUUGAAGUGCUCUUUGGGCUCUUUCCCCUCCAAAUAUUUGGGCUUGCCUAUUUCUCCCUAUAAGCUUCUGACUAAGGAUUUUAACUUCUCAAUGACUAAGGUUGGCAAUAGGGUCACGCCCUGGAGAGGCCGCUACAACCACACUGCUGGGACCUGGGAGGGUGUGUUUAACUAAUUCCUGCUUGUCCUCUCUGCCUAUGUUCCUCAUGGAAUUUUACCGCCUUCCGGCUGGGAUUCAUGCCGGUCUCGACAAGCACAAGAGCGGCUUUUAUUGGAACUCUGCGGAUAACAAAAAGAAUAUAGACCGGUCAAAUGGAAGUUGAUGUGGAGACCUAAAAGUGUUGGGGGUUUGGGGAUCCUCAACACCACUAUUAUGAACAAGCACCUCAUCAUUAAACGGUGGUGACGGAUUCUUACUUCUCACCAGGAUGUCCUUUGGCUCAGCAUCCUCAAGGCUAAAUACUUCCCUCACUCCUCCCCCCUCUCAUGCAAUCUUGCUAGUGGUGUCCCUAUCUCUCAGUUAUGGCGACAAUUGCUUAAUGUGCGAGGCAACUUUAGGUCCUUGGCCAAGUUUUCGGUUGGUGAUGGUUCGGGUAUUAGGUUCUGGCUUGAUUGGUGGAUCGGGGAAGGCCUGCUUGCGGUGUCCCUCCCAGUGCUUUUUUCCUUUGUUGCUUCCUCCGCGGCCUUCGUUGCGGAGCUUGUGGCUUGUGGGUGGGACUUCGCCUUUCGUCGGAUCCUUUCUCCUGAAGAGUUGGAGGAUUGGCAUCGCCUUGCUGCCCUCCUCCCCUCGCUGUCGGAGAGUCAUGAUGGGGUCUCUUGGCCUCACUCCGCCUCAGGUCAGUUCUCGGUUAAGUCUUGUUAUCGUGUUUUGUCUGGAGGCCAUAUUACUUUGAAGUUUAAGCCCAUCUGGGCGGCGAGGGUGCUUUCAAAGGUUAAGAUUUUCAUGUGGCAAGCGAUUAGGGGUCACCUGCCCGCAGCGGAUUAGAUUAAAAAGAGACAGGGCCCAGGCUCCAAAUUUUGUGCUCUGUCCGGCCAGCUCGAGGAUACGGUCCAUAUUCUGUUCCUGUUAUGAUCGGGGCCACUUAUAGCCGCCGCCAGCCCAAUAGUAGUUAGGGGCUUAGCCCAGUUAUCGUACUUUUAUUAGUAGCUAUGAGAUUAUAUAUACUCAUGUAAAAGACCUAUUUUGGAAUUAAGAAGUAGCAAACUUAUUUGCUCGGCUUCUGCCAGGAAACCCUAAACCCUAGCUGCCGCCGCGGCUCCUCUUCCUCGCGCGACCACGGCGCCCCAGCGCCGUCGACCGCGCCCCCUGCCUCGCCAACCCUCCUUCCACCCCUAUAACCUAAGGCCGCACCCUGGUAGGAGCCCUGCUCCUAUCANNNNNNNNNNNNNNNNNNNNNNNNNNNNNNNNNNNNNNNNNNNNNNNNNNNNNNNNNNNNNNNNNNNNNNNNNNNNNNNNNNNNNNNNNNNNNNNNNNNNNNNNNNNNNNNNNNNNNNNNNNNNNNNNNNNNNNNNNAGUGCGCGCACCCGUCCGCCUUUCACGCUCAACCGCUGCCACGUUUCUCCAAACUCGAGUUUGCUACCUAUGAGGGCACCGUCGACCCCCUGAACUGGCUCAAUCAAUGCGAGCAGUUUUUCGGGGGGAGCGCACGCUCGCGUCCGACCGCACCUGGAUCGCCUCAUACCACCUACGGGGUGCGGCUCAGACGUGGUACUACGCCUUUGAAUAGGACGAGGGUGGCAUGCCGCGGUGGGAGCGUUUCCGUGAGCUUUGCCUGCUGCGUUUCGGGCCUCCGGUCCGCGGCAGCCGCCUGGCCGAGCUGGGGCGCCUGCCUUUCCUCUCGACGGUGCAUGACUUCACUAACCGCUUCCAAGCCCUAGCAUGCCACGCCCCUGGCAUCUCGAGCCGCCAGCGGGCUGAGCUGUUCGUGGGUGGGCUGCCCGACCACAUCCGCGUGGACGUGGAGAUGCGCCGGCCACAAGAUAUCCAGACGGCCAUGUAUUAUGCCCGCGCCUUCGAGCAUCGCGCGACGGCCAUGCAGCAGGCCUCGACCUUGCGGACCACUCGCCAGGGGUCCUGGCCGUCGCNCGUCGUCGCCAAGGCCUCUGCUACAACUGCGACGAGCCCUACAUCCCCGGACACGUGUGCCCGCGACUCUUCUACCCAGAGGCAGCCGAUUAAAUUGAGGACGACGCCGUCGCCGCCCUGCCAGGCGGGGAGGACGCCGCCGAGGCAGCUCCAGCGAACGCCAUCGUGGUCUCGCUCCACGCUCUCGCGGGUAUCCGGACGAAGAAGACCAUGCUGCUGUCGAUCACCAUCAAGGGCGAGCAACUCCUGGCACUACUCGAUACAGGCUCCACCCACAAUUUCCUGUUCGGGGCCACCAUGCCCCGUCUCGCGCUUCAUUCGACUGGCGGGGAGCACCUCCGGAUCACGGUGGCCAACGGUGACCGCCUUCCCUGCCAGGGCAUUGCUCGUGAUGUUCCUCUCGCCAUUGGUGACGAGCAAUUCUCCAUCACGUGCGCCGGCCUCAACCUGGGUUGCUUUGGUGUCAUCCUUGGCGUCGACUUCGUGCGCACCCUGGGUCCUGUUCUUUGGGACUUCGACGCGAUGACCAUGGUCUUUUGGUGGCUGGGCCACCGCGUUCGCUGGGAGGGUGUGAGGGGUGGGCUGGCCGCGAGUCCCUAACCCCAGCUGUCGGCCACCUCAGCCGACUCGACCAGGCCCCUGCUGGACCGUUUCUUGCAGCAGUACAACGACCACUUCGAGACCCCCCAAGGACUCCCGCCAGCCUGGGCCUAUGACCAUCACAUUCACUUGUUGCCGGGCACACCUCCCGUGGCCGUCCGCCCGUAUCGCUACCCUCAGCUGCAGAAAGAUGAAGUUGAGAGGCAGUGCGCGGAGAUGCUUGGCCAAGGCAUCAUCCGGCCGACCACCUCUCCAUUCUCGACGCCGGUACUUCUCGUCCGUAAGGCGUAUGGCACGUGGCGCUUCUGCAUUGACUAUCGGGUUCUCAACAUCAAGACCUCCAAGGAUAAAUUUCCUAUUCCGGUUGUGGAGGAACUCCUGGACGAGCUACACGGGGCAUGCUUCUUCACCAAGCUCGACCUUCGUUUCGGCUAUCAUCAGGUGCGAAUGCACCCAGACGACAUUGCGAAUACGGCCUUUCACACACAUCAUGGCCACUUCGAGUCCUUGGUCAUGCCGUUCGGCCUUGCCAACGCCCCGGCGACAUUUCAGGAAUUGAUGAACGAUGUCCUCCGCCCCUACUUACGGCGGUCUGUGCUCGUUUUCUUCGACGACAUCCUCAUCUACAGUUCGUCGUGGGCCGAGCAUUUGCUGCACAUCGCCAUCGUUCUUAACGAGCUUCGGGUGCACCACCUAUACCUCAAGCACCCGAAGUGCUCGUUUGGCACACCGUCCGUUGCUUAUCUCAGACAUGUCAUCUCGGCGGAGGGUGUAGCCAUGGAUGCGGACAAGGUUGACGCCGUCGCCACCUGGCCGUCGCCGCAGUCUCCUCGGGCUCUUCGCGGGUUCUUGGGGCUAGCCGGCUACUACCGCAAGUUCAUUAGGGAGUUUCGCCUGAUUGCGGCUCCACUUACGCGGCUGCUGCGGCGCGACGUGUUUACUUGGGACACCGAAGCGGCUGAAGCUUUUCAGACGCUGAAGCAUGCCCUCAUGACUGGGCCGGUUCUCCAGAUGCGGGAUUUCGACAGGCUGUUCACCGUGGACCGUGACGCCUCCAGCGUGGGGUUUGACGCCGUCCUUCAUCAGGGUGCAGGACCCCUCGGUUUCUUCAGCCGGCCGUUCGCCGCACGUCAUCACAAGCUCGCCGCUUACGAGCGCGAGCUCAUCGGGCUGGUGCAGGCGGUACGGCACUGGCGGCCAUAUUUGUGGGGGCGGCCGUUUCUUAUCCGCACGGAUCACUACAACCUCAAAUUCUUGUUGGACCAGCGACUUCCCACCGUUCCGCAGCAUCAAUGGAUCAGCAAGCUCUUUGGGUUCGACUUCACCGUUGAGUAUCGCGAGGGCCGCCUCAACACCGUCGCGGAUGCAAUGUCCCGCUGUGAUUUCGAUCAGGCUGCUGGCGCCGGCGAGGCUGAGGGAGCUGCCCUCUGCAUCCGCUCCGGCUCCUCCUUCGCCUUCAUCGUCGAUAUCCGCUAGGCUACAUCGACCGCGGCGGACGCCCAGCUGCUCCAGCAACUCCAGGAGGGAGCGCUGCCUGCGCCGUGGCGCCUGGAGGGCGGCUUGCUCCUUCAUGGGCGGCGCCUCUUUGUGCCGACCAAGGCGACCUCCGCCACGAGACCCUGCUCCUCGCCCACUCGACCGGUCACGAGGGAGUCCAGAAGACGCUCCACCGCCUUCGCUCCGACUUCUUCAUCCCCGACGACCGUGCGCUGGUGUAGGAUUGGGUCCGGUCUUGCGUCACUUGUCAACGCAACAAGACCACCACGUUGCAGCCGACAGGACUACUACAGCCCCUUGAGGUUCUUCCAGGUAUGGACUGAUAUCUCCAUGGAUUUCAUUGAGGGUCUUCCCAAGGUGGGCGGCAAGUCCGUCAUUCUCACGGUGGUGGACCGCUUCUCCAAGUACACCCACUCUGUUGUGCUCGGCCAUCCCUACACCGCCACCUCUGUCGCACGCUCCUUCUUUGACGGAAUAGUCCGUCUCUACGGAUUUCCUUCGUCGAUUGUCUACGACCGUGAUCCAGUGUUUACCAGCCAUGUCUAGCGUGAUCUUUUCAAGAUGGCGGGCGUCAAGUUGCGGCUGAGCACAACAUUCCAUCCUCAGGCCGACGGCCAGUUGGAGAUUGUGAACAAGGUGAUCGCUAUGUACUUACGUUGUGUUACAGGUGAUCGCCCACGUGCCUGGGUGGACUGGCUCGCUUGGGCGGAGUACUGCUACAACACCUCCUACCACUCCGCCUUGCGUGCCACUGCGUUCGAGGUCGUUUAUGGCCGUCCUCCGCCGCCCAUUCUUCAGUUCCGGGAAGGGGCGGCUCAGACCGAGGCGGCAGGCGAGCUUCUCCGCAGCAGGGAUGAGGUUCUCGCGGAGGUGCGUCAACGUCUUGUCCAAGCGCAACAGCUGUCCAAGAAGUACUAUCACGCUCAUCAUUGCGAUGCAGAGUUUGCGGUCGGCGAUUGGGUGUGGCUGCGCCUUCUCGACCGCUCCACUCAGUCGCUUGACCCGCGCGCCAAGCGCAAGCUCGGGCCGUGUUACGCCAGGCCGUUUCAGGUGGUGGAGCGUGCCGACAGCGUGGCCUACUGGCUACAGUUGCCAUCGGGCGCCCGUAUUUAUGAUGUCUUCCAUGUGGGGCUGCUAAGCCUUUCCGCAGUGAACCACCGACAUCUUCGCCGGUCCUUCCGCCAGUGGCCAACGGUCGUCUUUUUCCAGAUCCACAGAAGGUGUUUGAGGGCUAAGCUGAGCCGCGGAGUUUGGCGACUUAUGAUUCAGUGGCAAGGCCUUUCCGCGAAGGACGCCACUUGGGAGCGGCUCGACGAGUUUCGCCAACAGUUUCCAGACUUCCAGCUCGAAGACGAGCUGUUUGCGUAGGCGGGGAGAGAUGUUAUGACUGGGGCCAAUUAUAGCCGCCGCCGACCCAACAGUAGUUAGGGGCUUAGCCCAGUUAUCGUAUUUUUAUUAGCAGCCAUGAGAUUAUAUAUAUACUCAUGUAAAAGACCUAUUUUGGAAUUAAGAAGUAGCAAACUUAUUUGACCAUCUUCUGUUGGGAAACCCUAAACCCUAGCCGCCGCCGCGGCACCUAUUCCUCGCGCGAUCACGGCGCCCCAGCGCCGUCGGCCGCGCCCCUGCCUCGCCAACCCUCCUUCCACCCCUAUAACCUAAGGCCGCGCCUUGGUAGGAGCCCUGCUCCUAUCAGUUCCGUUGCACUUUGGCCUUGCUGUUUUGGAGCUGCCUUAGAGAUUGGAUGGGCAUGUCCUUGGCCCCUUCUAAUUUCGAGGAACUGAGGCCGCUUGUUGCCUCUCGAACGGGUCUAUCCAAGAGGCUUUUCUGGUUUGAUUUCUCGACCAUGUGUUGGACCGUUUGGACCACCAGAAACAAAUUUACUAUCGAAUAGGUGUUCCUUAAUAAGGCGGUUGACGUUAUUUUCAUUUUUUUAUCCUUUUGCAGCAGUGGAAAUCUUUGACUAAGGAGGGUGAAAAGGCGGCUGUGGACCUCUUUAUCUCUCGGAUGCGCUCCGCGGCAACUGACAUGUUGGGAGAAGUUUAGCUUGCGUCGGCCUUAUUUUGAUUUCUUAGUUGUUGCUUCGUUGGUGCCUCAUUUCUUUCGUUGCCUCCUCGCUUGCGGCCUGCGUGCCAGGUCUGGCCGGUUGUGGUGUGUUGGUACUUCCAUUUUGGGCUUCUUUCGUUGGAUCUGUUUCUGCUUGUGGUACUUGGUUGCCGGUUGGCUUUAUUAAUUUAAAGCCGGGCUUAGGCCUUUCCUCUGAAAAUGGGUGCAUAUGUUAGGAAAACCAGACUACCAUUGGAAAUAUGUCAAAUGUUACGAAUAUCUUGUUCUUCUUAGAGCAUCUCCAACGAAUGAUGUAAAAUAGCCGCUGAGUCCAAGAAACUCGCAUUUGGAUUACUUUUGGCCAAAAAAUGUCUCCAACAAAUGAACUAUAUCCUUAUGUGCCCAAUGUUUUUUACAUCAGGCCCAAAGUUUUGCUACAAGUGUUGCAUAUUUUAGGCCAAGAGAGUUAGCUCUGAUACCAACUGUAACGCCCCGGCCACAACCACCAGUUCCUGGCCGUUACACUUGGCGGGAUCUAGACUGGCCCUAAAGACCAACACUGUUUUUCUUGCGCACUUUAUCCUCAUUUGUGCGCACCGGGGACCAACUUCCCAGUCGGUCACUCAUCCUUAAAUCGCUCCAAGCCCGCUUAACUUUGAGGUUCCUUGCGAAUGGGUUCCCGAAAAAGAAGUAAUUCCUUGUUGAUAUGAGUAGUCUAUCAUUCCUAUUAAGUAAGACUCUCACAAGGUUGUCGCAAAAAUGAAAACAUUGUCGCACGAACCCAACCGCCCCCACUGAAACUAACCAUGGCAGCAGCCUCAUCGCUGACACCGCCGUCCCCGAUUUCAGUCGCCCUACGCCAACACCGCCACCCCACCCUGAGACAUGCCGCCACCCCCUGGCCAUUCCAUCGACGAAUCCAGCUGCCAUCGAGUCACAACUAGCCCGAGCCCCCGCAACAGUCGUCGCCGUCGCCAUUCGAAUCCGUCCACCCCCGUCCUCCUCGCCUCGAAUCCAUCUUCCCCAUCACCGAUCUCCUCCGCUACCGCCGUGGGGGAUCUCCCAGCCGCCGCUGCCUCUACGCCAUACAACCGUGAGCCCCAUGCCGUACCCCGGCGUGCGGCGUCGGCGGUCGUGCCACUUCACGAUGAAGAUCCACAACCCCGAUACGAGGGAGAUGAAGUGUCUCGGCACCUUUCACACCGCAGAGCUGGCUGUGCGGGCGUAGACUUGGUGGCGCUCCAGUGCUUCCGGCACCGGUGAUGCAUUUUCCCAUGGAGGCCAAGUAUGUGGAUUUCCUCCCUGCUCUUGUGAGGAGGAGAAGGCGAAACGCCGAGGCCAAUGAUGUGCUCUAUAUAGCGGAGCUCGUCAACGCCAAUCUGGAGCUCCUCCCGCUAGACAUUGCAUACUUUGAGGAAGGAGGCACAGCACAAGAAAUUGCAUGGGGAGGAGGAGAAUCGCAAGAUCGAAGUUGAGGUCGAUGAGUUGUUUGACCAGCUCGAGGAAGAGGAGAAGGAAGGUGAAGUCGUCGAGUAGGUGUACAGCCAAUGAACACGAUGCCGGCCCCACCGACGCCGGGGUGAUGGACAUCUCCUGCAAUGAGGACUUCGACGACUACUGGUAGUGUCACGCUACGCCGUGGAGUUAGGUCUAUCACAAUGUACCGCUAGGGAUCUAUGAGAGUGGUAGUGUUUAAGUUUGCCAUUUCAUGUUCAAUGCGCAACAUUUCGUACGAGAGUUGAAAAUUUGCAAUGAAUAUACGAGUUUUAGUUCAUGUUUCAAAUUUUGGGGCACCAGUUUUAGUGCAUCUAGAAAAGCAAAAACUUUUCUGGUGCCCUAAAACCUUCUCUCUCCUCACCUAAAAUCAUUUUUGGGGCACCAAAUUUUUGGUAAUCUGUUGGAGAUGCUCUUAAACUCUGCCUAUACUGUCUCAACAUAGCCGGUCCCAAGCCCGGGUAAAGGAGGAGGGUUGUGAUACGCUUGGCGAGCCAACGUCAAAACUCAGCCACUCUUAUGAAGAUGAAACCCAAAAGCCAUGGACAGGGAUGCGUGGAAGCUUGUUAUCCAUAUGCCAGAACCAUGAGUUGGUUGCGAGAUCUUAUGAGUUUCACCUCUAGCCUACCCCAACUUGUUUGGGACUAAAGGUUUUGUUGUUGUUGGAGAUGCUCUUAAAGUUAAUUUUUUUUGGUCUGUGAAUGAGAUUUGAGGCCUUGAGUAAUUGAGCUGUACACUAGGUACUGCUCGAUUGCCCAUGCAAACUGUGUCUCAUAUUACACUCUUAUGGGGCUAGAACUAGAAUGAUAUCAUCUGCAGUCUCUCCAGUUCGUCUUGUUUGCUGUAAUUGUAUUAGAUUGUCUUCGAGCUAGGAAUUUUAGAUUGUGUUAUCACACCCUUGCUAAGAAUACUAUAUAUUCAUUCCAGUUAUUGCUUCUGUAUGUAUGCAUAGGCUUAAAGCCUCGAGAGUUUUGUCAUCAUUUACUAUUAAAGCUAUGGUUUUAUUUUCUUGAGGAUGGAUGCUCUUAUACAAAUAUUGUCCAGUUGAUGCUAAUUUCGUUCAUUUUGUGGAUCUCCAGAUUUACCUGGCUUCACACGUAGUGUGUUAAAAAAGGAUCAUGCUGUAAUAACACCAGAAAGCCAUGUAUUCAGUCCUUUACCUAAUUGGUAAGGCUCUGUCUUUCCCCUGUACUCUAAUUUCUUUGCACAUUAUGUGUCUAUAUUAACACCAACCGUUUAUUCUCUCUAGGACCAACACGUUAGGAGCAUAUUUGAUUAGUCCAGCUCUUGGCGCACACUUCACUAUGUACUUGGCAAACAUGCAAGGUGUGCAGUUUAUCCCAUUUACUGUCAUGUGCUUACAAAGAAUGCUAUAAUCAUAUGUAAUUGCAUAUAUCAACUCAUAAGACAAAAUACUACUCCCUCCGUCCCAAAAUCCUUGUCUUAGGUUUGUUUAAAAGUAAAUGUAUCUAAAUACCAAAACGUGACUAGAUACAUUCAUAUCUAGACAAAUCUAAGAUAAAAAUAUUGAGACGGAGGGAGUAGUUAAUAUAGUUGCUAAACAUCAAGUUGGAUGAGAAGAUGCUUAUUUGUUGGAUCUAGUAAUUUUGUUAUUCAUGUAUGAGAACAAUAAGGAUAGCUCUGACUUAUAUAUNCACAUCAAUAAACCGUAAUUUUACGUUUCGUAAAUUUUAAUCUUAUCUCAUACGUAAAAAGAGACCGUAAGAAAAUACAUAGUCAAGUAAAGAAAUAUAUGAGAAAUAUAUGUCACGUAAAAUUACAAACAUAAAAACACAGUGUAAAUUAUACAUAAAAUGCGAUUUUUCUGGUCUUAUGACCUAUAUUUUUGUUUUCUUAUGUCAAAUUUUACGUAGUGAAUCAAUAUAAAUGUAACUAUUUGCAUUUCAAAUGUAAUUUGUUUAUGAAAUGACCGUAAAAUUACCUCGGGCGAGGAUUAAUUUAUUCUGCACCCUGGGUGAUGAAUAGAGUUUCUAUAUAUAUAGAGAGAGAUAGAGCAUGGAUUUGCUAUCAACACUUGCUAGGGUGGUUGUUAUCUGAACCCUUUGUUUGCAUUGAGAUCCGAACUUUCUUGUAGGUAAGGUUCCUAUUUCUUGAAUUUUGGAGAAGGGACCAGAUCCCAACACAUAACGUGCAACACUGAUUGCAGUCGCUCCAGCGAAACUGAUUGCAUGGCUUAAGCAACUUUUGUACAUCUGGAUUUGUACUACUCUCUCUGUUCAUGGAAAUACUUGUCGUGCUUUUAGUUUAAAUUUGAACUAAAACCACGACAAGUAUUUUUGGAAUGUAGGGAGUACAUUCUUGGGCCAAAAUUGCCAAGCUCAUUAGCUCUCAGUUUAAAGUCCAUCUUUUCUUGUACAUCAUCACAUGUCAUUGAUUUUUCUGGAACUAAGUUGUUGGCAAAAGCAGCCUAUUAAGUUCUUUGUUGCAUUAUGCAGAUGGAUCAAAAUCAGCCUUACCACCGAAAGAUGUUGAAAGGUUCAACUUAACUCGCUAGUUAAACGCUUAGACAUAGAUUAACGAAGGGAGCAAUUCAUUUGUCAGCAUCCUUUUCUUUGUCUGACUUGGAAUUAUCACCAUCCCCGGAAUGAGAUUUCCAGCUCUCCCAUUUUAUUUCCAGGCUUAUCUUUGUGGUUCAAGGCAGCACUGCAUUGUCUGUGGAGAGCAGAACAACCCAAUCCCUGUUGGUAAGAUUACAUGAUAUCAGUGCAUGCCUUUUGUGUUUUUUUACCAAAUUAAUUGUGUAUUUAUCCGUAAGAAUCAGGGUACUUCAAACAUCACUGAUUCCAUAACAUAACCUGCGGGGUUCAUAUGGACUUUUUUUGUUCAGUUAUGCAUUUCUUCGCACAUCAGUUUGUUUCAAGGCAGCAAGAAUUAUAUUUGACCUUUGUCAUCAUCAUAUAUACCGUCAUAGCAGAUUCUGAUGUUGUAAUACAGUGUCUGAGUGGUGAUCAUGUAUCUUGGUCUAUCUACUCUUGGUUUUGUUGUUAUAUUUUCAUAGCAUGUUUUAACUUGUAAAAUGUGAAAUGAAGACUACAAAAGGCUGAAAUCAGAUGCUGAUAUAGUGAUGUUUGGGCGACAAUUGACCUCCGCUCAUUCCGAUUCCCCCAGCAGGCAGCGCCGGGGUGCCAACAGCGACAACAUCGCCUCCGGCCUUCCACAAUGACUGCACCUACCACAAGCCCCCGAAGCACGAUUUCCCGCGCUUCCAUGGCACCGUGCCAUACCUAUGGCUGGAUAGAUGCCUGGCUUACUUCGAGCUCUAUAAGGUUGCGCCGCACAAUUGGGUGGCCACCGCAACGCUCCACAUCGACGGCUAGCAGCCCACUGGCUUCAGGCAUUUCGCCUUGGAGCUGCUUGACGACCCCGUGUCGGCGCCAGCGCCAUCCAAUCCAGCGUGCCGCGUGCUGUUGUCUCAGGUGCUCGACGGCUCCAACUCGACAAGCACCAUUCGUCUUCACGCCCUGGUGAUGCUGCUACUGCUCGACUUGGGCAGUACGCACAACUUCGACAACAAAUCCUUCGUUGAGCGCAUCGGUGCCAUCACCGAAGCCAUGAUUCUGGUGGAAGUGCGCGGCGCCAAUGGAAAUCAUCUCACUUGCAACCGGAUCGUGCUCGAGCUCGAGUGGUGGAUGCAGGGCCACACAUUCUCCACACCGAUGCGCGAGCUUGACAUCGGUGUCUACGAAGGCAUUCCGGGGAUGGACUGGCUUUCCCAGUACAGUCCCAUGACGUGCCAUUGGCAAGACAAGUGGGUCACCUUUCGACAUGACGACAAGCAAAUCACGCUACGCGGCGUGCAACCGGCUGCCACCACAACGCUCAAGGCGGUGGAGCCCGAGGAGCUCCGCAAGAUGAUCGCAUGCAAGGAUGUCUGGGCCAUGGCCAUGGUGGACGCUUGCGAGCACCCGCCGUCGCCGCACAAGGCCGUCAGCAAAAACCCCCUCGUCGUGCAAGGCCGCUGCUCGACGAGUUCACCGAUGUUCUCGUGGCGCCGCGCGGGCUACCCCCACAUUGCCAGUAUGACCACACGGUCACCCUGGUCAAGGGCGUGGUCUCCACGAACACACACCCAUAUCGGUACUCUCACUCCAGAGGGACGUGAUCGAACGCCAGGUCCGCGAGAUACUCGACUCUGGAAUGAUCGUGCACAACGUCAAUCUGUACGUGGCCUCGGUCCUUCUGGUCAAGAAGAAGGACGACACGUGGUGGUUCUGUGCCGACUACCGCCACCUCAACGACGCCACCAUCAAGAACAAAUUUACAGUCCCCAUCGUCGACGAGCUGGCUGGCGCCGCGAUCUCCAAUCUCGACCUCCGUGCUGGCUACCACCAAAUUCGCAUGCACGAAGAGGACGAAGCCAAGAUCGCGUUCAAGAUGCACCACGACCAUUUCUAGUUCCGGGUCAUGCCAUUCGGGCUCAUGAACGCCCCUGCUACCUUCCAAUGCCUCAUGAACACUAUCUUCAGUAAGUAUUGUAACGACUAAGAGUGUUUAAGGUUGCAGCAUCCUAAGCUUGAUAUGGUGGCUAACUUACGUAGAACAUUUAUGAAGGUGGUCUAUACUAACGGUCGAUAAUACUUGAUCACUAAGUGAUCCUGAACACCUACCUACGUCAUUCAUACCCCCACCGUGUUCCCGAUCGAAGAGAGAUCUUCGAGGGGACAGUCACGGUUACGCACAUAGUUGGCAAUUUUAUUAGCUUAUGUUUAAGUUAUCUAUUAUCGGAUGUUAACAAAAUAUUUCAAGUUGCCACAUAACCGCGGGCACGGCUUUCCGAAAGAUUAAACCCUGCAGGGGUGCUCCAACUAGUCCAUCACAAACGUACACGGGCCGCAAAGUAAUCCUCUAUCACGAAUCUCGUGAUCUCGUCGGAUUCCUUAGAGGAAAACCUCAACUCUGGGGAGAACCAAAGCUUCAUCGGGAUUCCUAUACGCAAGAUAUAUCGCUAAGGUAAGGCAAGACUAGCAGGACCUCCCGUCGUGUCGACGACCCUGAUAAGAGCCGCGUAUCUCAGUCUUAGGACACGACGGAUGGAAAAGCCUACAGGAGCCAAACCUCAAGUUUCCCUGUGGUGGCCCCCGCAGUCUGUCCAUUUUGGACCAACACUCAUGAGGAGCACUGGCCCGGGUUGUUGAGUAAAGAUCCUCGGGGUGAUCAUUCCCUAUGUAGAUUAUUAUUAAGUGAUUAGCAAAUUAACACCAAUGUUGGGUCCUGCCGGACAAGUCUUAGCACUACGCGAUUUAUCGAGGGGGUCCCAUAACAACCCCGAACGUGUUAGAGCGAUCAAUAUGGAAUCAAACACCGGUAGCCGGUAACUAUGGCGGCACUAACGGAACAAAGCACCCGGCAAAAGGCUAGGCCUUCCGUUAUUUACCAAGUAUAUAGGUGCAUUAAUUAAAUAACAGAAUUUAAGAUAAUGAUAUCAAGCUCAUGUUGUCACAUGAGACAAAGCACCUGCAUCUAGCAACGCUAACAUUAGUAGCUGAGCAAGCCUACUUAGCCAUUCAAGUUUGCUAGGAAGGGGUAAGUGUUUGGUUUCAUGGCAUAUUAAGAGGCAAAUAUUUCAGUGGUAGGCAGCGAGCAUAUGACAAAGGAAACGUAAUCUAGCAUAACAAGUCUAGAGAUGGAAUCAAGGUCAUAUCAUCUUGCCUGUGAUAUCCUCAGCUUGGAAUGGUUCUUGAUCGUCCUGCACGUACUCUCCUGAAUCCACGAACUCGUUCUCCGAUCCCGGUGCUACCCAACAUAAGAAUAACAUCCAAUGAACAACAGCACCUCAAGAUGCAACAAGCACAUGAUGCAUGAGAUGAAUAUGAGCAUGCAUCACUAUUUCUAUCACUAGCACAAGCUUAAAGAGUGAAUACAUGUUUCCUGGACAGAACUGCAUCCUAAGCUAUUUUGACAUGCAUGAGAAUGACAUGAUCAGAUGCGUCUCGUGAAAACGAUGCAAAACCAUAUAAAGAACAUUACAAUCGGAGCUACGGAUCAACGGAAAUCAACGAAACAAGAUAUGAAGCCCUACGUGACAAAAUCAGCACCACACACUCAAAUGGCACAACUCUGGUAUUUCCAGGUUGCCAAGACAUAAAACAAACUAUCAUGGAUGGGGUGGAGCAAAGAAGAACACCACAUCAUCAACUAAGCACUUCCAAACAUCAAAAUGACAAAACUACACAAUCUGCCAUAAACUGCAUCAUAGCACUUUGUGAGCUACAUGCAAAACACCUACAGCCAGCCAAAUAUAACAAAUAAUAUAUUUGGCUAUAGCUAUCCAAGAAUACUACAAGCACAAGCAAGAAUCACACAAAAAGGAAUUAAACACAGAAAGAUACAAGGCUGCAAACUUGCCCAAAAAUAUCAGUUUCCAGGGACUUAGUGAAAAUUCCAGAUUCUCACUCUCUGUCUAUGCUCUGAAGCAUUUUGACAGCAGCCAAAACAAUAUCUACAGGACUCCAAAUAGAAUGAAAUUUUACAGGGAGCUAGACAAACAUAUCAGCUUCAACUUUCUAGUUGAAAGCUAAGGCUAGAUCACAACACAUUGACCAGCACAACCUCAUCAACAGGAGAAGAAAAUAUAAACAGAUUCUCAGACUUGAUUUUCACUAAUCUGGAAUUUCAGCCACAUGCCUACUUUGAGUGGGCAUAACUUGCACAUAUGGAAUCCUAAUCAUGAGAUGAAACCAACAUGAGGUAGAGGGGGUCACCCUCUACUACCACAAUCAAGAAACAAUCACAAAGACUCACCACAACUUAUGGAACCAAGCUCUAAACAUAGAAGAAAAUAAAAAUAUGUCAUCUCCAGAAAAUGUUCCAAUGGCAAAACUAAGUUCACCAAUGGAUUCCUUGGGAGAUUCUACCACAAAAUCAUAUAUAAUAUGUAUACACUUGCUUGGAACAAGUGAUCACAAACUAGGAAGGAAAAACAACAUAGAUUCCUAUAUAGUGAAUAGUGCAACAUUUCAUGUGACUAUCACUAGAACAACUACUACAUAGUUAUGCUCAUGUGCACAAAGACAAUACUGACAAGAGGGUUUGAACCCCAUGUUUGUGUCAUGCACAACAUCACAAGCACUACUUUCACUAGAUCACCCCCCCACACACACAUCAUGCCCUCUCUCAUAUGAAAAUGAGGAGGUGCACAAGUGUUGCAAAUUGGGCUGUUUCACCACACACAUAUCAUCGCAACAACCUCAUCACAAGCACUUAAUCCCAAGAACAACAUGAAGGAAAAACUACUAUGCAAGUAAACACGGAGCAUCACAUACAUACACUCCUACUAGGUACCACAUAUGUGUGCACUGCUUACACACACAUCACCUCAACACACACACAUCUCACCUACUCCACAAUGCACAUACUUUGCAAGAACUACACACCCACACACACUAGCAAGAUCACAUGAGCCACUUAUCACUUAAGCCACAUACACACAUACACGAUGCACUUCUACUAGUGUGUGCAAAACACACACACAACAUACAACCUGCAUCUAGCUACACUAGCAGGAAGAAGAAAUAAAAAGACCACUUUGAUGUCUAUAGAUUAGGCACAAGUGGAGUAGGGCAAAGCAAAAGAAAUAAAAUGAGAGAGAAGUGGAAAAAUGCAAGUGACAGGCCUGGGAAUCGAACCCAGGGCCUCUGUCACGCCACUGCACCGCGCUACCACCACACCACUGGUUCGAUAGAGUAUGGUGGUUAACCAAGGUAACUAGGUACCUUGCUACUGUGCCGAGGCAAAAUAAGGAAAAAAGGAUGCCGAGGGGGGGGACUCGAACCCACGCCCUCUUGACAGGCAUCGGAACAAACUACCACUGGGCUACGAAUCGGUUACUGCUAGAAAGGGGGGAUCUAUUCAGAUAAGCUAUCCCUAGCACAUCUACCUGUGCUCUGCACGCUGGCGACAGAGAAGGUGCCGGAGCAGAACAACUGCUACUGCUGCCCACGAGGGGAGCCACCACUACAACGACGAUGCACGAAGGGAAGGAGUCCCUGCUACCCUACACACCACCACGAACCGCGCCUGGCAGAGAAACACACACACACAUACGGGGGGGGGGGGGGGCUCUGCUCUGCUCGACAGAGAGCAUGGCGACAGGGAAGGUCACUGGCAUGCUUCCCUGCUACCGCACGCUAUCGGAGGAACCGCUGUACCUACACGAUGCACUACGAAGGGGAGGAUCUACUGCUGCUCAACACAUCUAGCUCACCACACCUACACAACCCUCUGCUGACGAACUGCACAGACAGGAAGCACGGCGAGCUCUACCAUGGCGGAUCCGGUCGAUCUAAGGAGGAAGAAGGAAGGGGGAACGUUCCUCACCUUGGGGAACGAAGGGGAGGACUGAACGGAGGAAGAGGCGACGGAGAGGAAGCAGCCCGGCGACGAAGAGGAAGCAGAUCGACGACGAGACGCUCCUGGAAGCAGAACGAGGGGGCUUCGGGUCCGCGGCGCAGACGUCGUCCUUGCCGUCGGUGAGGAGGCACCUCGACCUCACCGAGGGCAAAAAUGGGGUGCGGGCACCAACCCUGAGCCCCUGGACAUGGUCGCCGGUGAAGAACGACGACGAGGGCGACGAUCGACGGAGAGGGGCUGCUCUGGCUACCUACGGAACUUACCAGAGGAGAAGGAAGAGAAGAAGAAGAGAGGAGGUGGCGGCGCACCGGAGAAGGGAGAGGAAACCUAGGAAGGAGGAGGAGCUUCCUGCGGCUUUAUAGCGCCUCGGGGGAGGAGCUUGACCACUGGAUCGACAGGAUGGAGGAUCGGGAGGAGGAGAAGCCGUCGUACACCAUGACGUCGUCUCGAGGAGGAAGAGGGACGGCGCUGGGCUGCUGUAGCGAAAGGUUUUGGGCCUGGGAGGAGUUGGGCUGGUAUAGCGCUAGGAGAGAAGGAGGGAAAAACCUGGCCCUUUCUAAUAUAAAACAACACCACAUGCAACUAAAAUCCUAGGAAAAACUAAGGGCAUAAAAAUAGAGAUAAAAUAUCCCUGGGCAUAAGGGAAUUAUGCCCCAAAUAAAUAAAAUACCAAAAUGACUAUUUGGGCAACUAAAAAUAAUUGCCAAUCAGAUUUAAUUAAAUCUGAAAUAAAGGAAAACCCCAAAAAAGGAAAACCCCAAACAAAAUAGGUUUUAAAAACCCCUCUCCUACAUGCCCACACUCCAACUAAAAUGCACUAAAGGUGUAACAUUUUUAAAACAGCAUAGGAGCAAAUAGGAUUUGAACUUGAGAUAAAGAGAGAGGGAAGGGAUUGAAAAAAAAAUAACAACCCCUCACAAACCACUACUACACCCCACAUCAUCACAUGUGCAUCAUCACAUGUAAUCACAAGAUCACAUCCAACACAAGACCACAAACACCACAUGAAAUCAUAUGACCACAUUGCAACAACAAGAACACAUGGCAUGAAACAUUAUGAUAUGCAUGCAUGCAAGGGAGACAAAAAUAAGAGACACAUGAAAUCAUACAUGCAAAAGGACUCUCUCAUUCCAAUGUCAAGGUGGUCCCACAUGGAAGGUUACAAAAAGGGAAAGCUUUACACUUGGGGCACUACAAGUAUGCACGCAAAUUUUUCAUAAUUUUGCUUGAUGACAUCCUCGUCUUCAGUAAAACAAUGGAGGAGCACCUUGAGCACUUGCACAUCGUCUUCGAGCUCCUCCAUGUGCACCAAAUGUUCGUCAAGGAGUCCAAGUGCUGCUUCACUUGCGACCACAUCGACUACCUCGUGCAUGUCAUUUCCAAGGAGGGUGUGGCCAUGGACAAGGAGAAGAUACAAGCAAUGACGCAGUGGCCGACACGACGAAUGCCAUGGAGCUCUGUGGAUUCCUGGUCCUCACCGGUUACUACAUGAAGUUUGUGCCAGGCUACAACAUCAUCGCCAAGCCCCUCACGCCGCUGCUCACCUAGAAGGGCUUCGCGUGGAACGAGCAGGCCUAGGCCGCCUUCGACAUGCUCAAGACGACGAUGUUCACCAUGCCAGUUCUGGCUUUGCCCAACUUCGAGCGGCUGUUCGCGAUCGAGACCGACGCCGGCUUCAGCAAGGCCCUCGGAGUGCGCAACCAGAAGUUGUCGACCUACGAGAAGGAGUUUCUCGCAGUUAUGAUGGCCGUCGACAAGUGGCAGCAGUACCUGCAGCGCGGCCCGUUCGACAUCCUAACUGCCCACAAGUCUCUCUGCAACUUGGGUGACCAACACAUGGAAACUAAGCUGCAACGCAAAGCCACGACAAAAUUGGCGGGGCUCCAAUUCCGUUUCCAUUACCGGUGCGGCCUCGAGAACGGAGCAGCGGAUGCGCUGUCAUGCGUGGGCAAGCAACUGGAUCUCUCCGCUCUCUCGGCUUGCCAGCCGGCAUGGAUUCAGGAGGUGGUCAAUUUGUAUGAGACCGACCCCGACGCACAAGAACGGCUGCAACAACUCUCCAUCAGCAGCCCCGGCGAGGACGGCUACGAGCUCUACCAUGGGGUGAUCCGCCACCGCGGCUGCCUCUGGAUCGGUGCCAACAUGGCUCUGCGCACCAAGCUCAUCGCAGCCCUGCACAACAGCCGUGGGCGGGCACUUCGGUUCCACCGCGACAUACCAGCGGGUGCGCAAGCACUUUGACUAGCGUGGCCUCAAGCGUGACGUGGACGAGUUCGUGCAGCAGUGCUCGAUCUGCCAACAUGCCAAGCACGAGCACACCAAGCCGGCCGUCCUCCUGGCGCCGCCGAUUCCCUCGGCACCCUGGGAGGAUCUGAAGAUGGACUUCAACGAGGGGCUUCCCACAUCCGAGGGCUUUGACACUAUCUAGUGGUCGUGGAUCGUUUCACCAAGUUCGCCCACUUCAUCCCCCUGUGCCACCCCUUCCACGCAAUGCAGGUGGCGAGCGCCUUCUGGGACCACGUCGUGAAACUCAAUGGCAUCUUGGUGUCCAUUGUCUUCGACCAUGACAAAGUCUUCACCAACAACCUGUGGCGGGAGCUGCUGGCCGACGUCGGCACAAAACUACUCUACUCAACGGCUUACCACCCGCAGACCGAUGGCCAAAGCGAGCGGGUCAACCAGUGCAUGGAGAUGUAUCUCCGAUGCGCCAUGCAUGACUCGCCACGCAAGUGGCACCACUGGCUGCUGAUGGGGAUAUGUACCUAGGGUAGGGUCACAGGCCUGACCUAGACGUCCUACCCAAGGUACCUCAUUAAAGACUUGAUGGUCAUGAAGAAGAUUCCGACUGGAUAGCCAUGGCGUCUAAAAAUCACAAGGUAAGAAGUCAUUCGGAAGAUGUUCCCCUUCACUCGACAACCAACUUCCACUCGGAAGAAACCAGUCGACGCAGAAGACCAGAAGCCACUCCAGGGAGGCCAACAGGCGAGCGUUCGGCUGAUCAUCAUGAAUAGCAUUAAUUACAUACAUACGUUAUCAGUAACGUACACCUUUAAACUCUAUUGAUUGAACCCUUAGAUGCUGGGGCCUUGAUGAGGGGUAGAGCACUCUAUAUAAGCCACCCCUCACCUCUGGCACAAGGGUUCGCACCCCUUGUAACACAUAUUCCACACCACAAGAGCUCCGAGCACUGAGACGUAGGGAUGUUACCUCUACGAGAGGGCCUGAACUCAUACAUCUUGCGUACAAGCUUGCCGUAGCUAGGACUAUGCCCUCUCCUUUCGUACCCUACACCUCUACUGUCAGGUUCAUUCCCACGACAGUUGGCGCCCACCGUCGGGCAGGCGUCUAAGCGACUUCCGGCAAGUUUGCAAUCUUCACUCUCCGCAUGUCUUCCGGCUGCGAUUCGUUUCUGGGCGGUGAGAUCCGUUUCGGCGCGCUCAUCUUUGUUGCCGAUGACUCGACAUGGCUUCAAGAGGCGCCUCUCGACAUCGAGGCGCUCACGAUCAACGGGGCGACGCACUUCUGUGCAAGCUCCUGCGGCAUACUCCUUCGGCAGCCAUUGACUCCGUUGUCGACCGUUCGCUCCGAUGUUCGUCGUCACAAACGAUCCGGUCGCUCACGACUUCAGCGAUGGGUGAAGCACGCAGUGGCUCGCCAGGCGUCAUCUCCACCAUCUCCGCAAGUUGCGGCCAUCGAGCCUACUGAACCUCUCCGGAGCUCGAUCCACUCAGCGUCCGAUCAGUCUGAUGUCCCUUCCGAGUGCGAGAGCUGCAAUCCAGCAGCGGAGGUCUUCAUGGCGGGUUCUAUGGAGAGCCCGCCCGGGUUCGGUCACGGCGAACGCGAUGUUGGAGAACCGUCGAUUGGACACGCACGUCGUCGUCCAACUUCUAAUCGAGCAUUAGCGACAACUCUUCUCGAGUGGGCGACAGGACAACAUUGAGGUAUAUCGUACUCCGGUACUAAAUGUUGCAACCGCCGCUAAGAUGGCAGAUUUUAUUCAGCCAUCAAACUCAGAGGCUGGUAGAGGCAGAGCAGAUUCGUACUUUGCUUCAAGCAGCGCAACAACAAAACUCAGCUGUAUCAUAGUCGCUCAAUAGGUUGCACAGUAAUUCACCUAGAGUAGAUACAAUUCGUUCAGUUUACAGUCCAGGGUCACCUCAGCGUUGCAGAGACGGGGGUUAUCGAGAGAAUCAACACAGAGACCAGGGGCGGAACCAGUUCGCUCCCCGUUAUCACCGUGAUGACCGCCGUCGGGUGCGUUCUCCUCCGAGGAGCGGUACGUAUGUGUCCCGACACUACGAUGACAGGCGCCUGUUCGGUGACGAGGGGAGUCCAGGAUUUGAUGCGAGAAAUGUACUCGCGCAGAGAAGGAUUGUCAGGGGCAGAGCUCACAAAGAUGAUUUCGAGAGAGAUCGUCUGAGUGGAAGCGGUACUGCAUUUUUUGGUCCCGAGUGCUUCAGUAGAGCAAUCCGUUCUGCUGAUAUUCCCCCCAACUUCAGGUUGGCGGCUAGAAUAAGUAAGUUCACAGGAGAAUCCAAGCCUGAAACAUGGCUUGACGACUACCGAGUGGCAGUGCAAAUUGGUGGAGGUAAUGACAGCGUCGCCAUGAAGCAUUUGCCUCUGAUGCUGGAUGGUUCGGCCAGGGCGUGGCUGAAUCAGUUGGCUCCUUCUAGCAUCGGCUGCUGGAAGGAUCUCGCCCGAGUGUUCAUCAAAACAUUCGAAGGCACAUGCAAGCGUCCUGCUGGUCCGUCCGAGCUACAGAUUUGCGUGCAGAAGUCGAAUGAAUCUUUGAGAGAUUAUAUUCAGCGGUGGACCACCUUCAUCACACGGUAGAGAAUGUUUCUGAGCACCGUGCAGUCUGUGCCUUCAAAGCCGGUGUCAGAUACAGAGAACUGUAUUUGAAGUUCGGUCGUACAGGCGACAUGUCCAUGAGCAAGAUGAUGGAGAUUGCUGUCCAAUACUCCAAUGGCGAAGAAGAAGACCGCAUCCGCGGCUGUGAUAGCCUGGCUUAUUUGGGAUGAUAAACUACUCAUAUCAAUAAGGAAUUACUUCUUUUACGGGAGCCCAUUCGAACAGAACUCCCAGGUUAAGCGUGCUCGGCUUGGAGUAGUUCCCCGGAUGGGUGACCAACCGGGAAGUUGCUCCCGGGGUGCGCAUGGGCAGGACAAAGUGUGCAGAAAAGACUAGUAUUGAUAUGUGGGGACAGUCUAGAUUCCGUCAGGAGUAACGACCACCGGCGGGUGUGUCUGUUGCGUUACAGCAGCGGUAAAGGGAAAUCAGUCAACAACGAUGCUGGUGGCAAUUCCAAUCGGAAGCAGAAGCGCAAGGCCGAUGGUUCCACUCCGGCAGAAGCAGCCGCCCUGGCGGCACG